UCCUGAUAACCCCCUGCAGAAAUACACAAACACCAAAACUCGUGGAAUUCUGUCAGAUAAAACCCUAAGUCUAGGUGUUGGUUGCAUUUGGAUCCUUUUCUAUGAUUAAUUGAUGGUUAAUUGUGAGCAUUAAGGACCGUCAACAAGCUCCCCCAAGCUUAACCUUUGCUCGUCCCUGAGCAAAGAUGAACUCAAGAGUUUCUGCAGUGGUUUCAUAACUUAAAGAUACACAUGCGUUUAAACAAGAUCUCAUCACUGGUUAGAGUAAACUGUUAAGACUUAAAACUUACUCAUUUACCUUUCACCAUGGGACUUGUAACCGUCACUUCUGUCUUGAGUAGUUAAAAGAUAGAACGGUCUAGUCAAGCACCAUGUCUCUUAUUCUUGAUCAGCUAUAGCUCUGGAGUUUUUGCAGAUUUUCAAAUAAAACUCAGAGAUUCCUUGUAUGACUCUCUCUAGUCUCUCUUUUGUGGUAUUUCUGGAUCCUUACCAAGGCAUUAAUGGUGUAUGCCUUCUCUCAAAGUAUGUGGUAUUUGUGGUAUAAGGCAUAGUGGCAUUGCCUUCUCUCUCACCCUACUCUAAUAAGGCUUUUGAUAUCUGGAGCUCAUAGGUGGGAGACAGCUAAUACAUACUUACAAGACAUUUAUUGCAUAGUCAAACCAUGGAUCCAGAAGAACAAGUCAAUAAGUCAAAUCAAGAUGUGCAUGUGUGGCGAAUGAAUGGUGAUGAUGGUGAUAACAAUGGUGGAAGUCUAAUUCUACUUAUGCUCUUUUGAGGGGAUACAUACCUUUCUUGCUCUUUUGAAACUUUUUGAGGAGAAUGAGAUGCUCUAUAUUUUCUUUUUCUUUUCUCUCAGGUGGGUAUCUUGUACCCCUAAUUCUACUGUCGGACACUUGCCCAUUUUUACCUCUCGUCUCACUUUUUUUCUCUCUUUUUUUUCUUUCGAGGUUCCGGGCACCUGCCCCUUUUUAUUUCCUCGCAUCUUCUCUUUUUUUUUCUUUUUUUUUCUUUUUUUUAGAGCACUCAUCUCAUGAGAUAAUAUAGCAAGUGGUAGUAACAAGAUAACUUGAGCAUUUAUUUCACAGGGGAAAAACAGAAAUAUUUUUGGCUAUUCUCUCCCGGAUUAGGAGUAGAAUAUUUUUGGGUGGUUCCGGAGAUGGAAAUGGAUGGAUAUAUGUGGAUGUAGCAUGUAUGAGUGAACGUGCAAGUGAAUCUUGAUUUAACCACAUGACAAGCUCCUAAGGGUCUACACAGCUUGACCACACUCAAUGCUCAUAAGUAGUAAAGUAAAUGUAUGGUUCAUAGUCUAGCAAGCAUGUAUAUAUGGCUGUGGUAGGAAUUUAAACUCUCAUCAUACAGGAACUCAUCAUGCAACAUUUUAAAGAUUUUCAAAGAUAAAAUUCUCCAGAAUUCUAGCAUCUCUAGGAACAGAUAAAUAGCAGCUCAACCUUCCCAUAUCGUAUCCGUUAACGACUUAGACUUUAGAUCAAGUACUCUCCCCACAAGUUCAGGUUUAGAGCAAAUCUUAAUUAAUAACAGUCAUGCCUAAACUUGAGAGAGAUUUCAAUUUUGAGAACUAGUCAUGGCAGAGCAACUAUUCAUGAUUCCAUGUGAGAGCUUAUCAUGAGGGUUCACAGCAAACUUUAUUUAUUUAUUUAUUUAGCAAACUAAGCAAAGAUAUAUAUAUAAGCACAAAAUCUUUAUUUAGAUUUUUAUGAUUAUGUAUCUUUUUUAUUAUUUGAGUAAAGUAUAAACAUGAGUAGAACACUUAGCUGGAUAAAUGGGGGUGCUCUCCCCCAAGCUGGAUUUCGACGUAAUUUCUUCUGAUCUAGCUAGCAGGUGGCGGAGGUGUAUUUGAAUGUCGGCAGCACCCUGACAGCGAUUAGGAUAUCCUCCGUCUGCUAGUCUUCUUUGAUCCUUGAAUUCUGUGGAGCUCAAAUAGACAACAAAGCUUUGUGGAACUGGUUAAGUGUUAGCAUAAAUAUCUAGCCUUUAUCAUGUUGAGCCUCCUCAAUAAAUAUUACUUUCUUUGGUAGGAUCAUAAAUUUAUUUUUAUAUUUUCAUUUUUAUAGGACAGGAAUAUAUUUAUUUUAUUUUUACGCCACCACAGUGAAUGUACUUAUGGGUUUUAUGCCAUGAGCAUACUCACAUGGGGCUUACUAUUUUUAACAUUUUUAUUUUCUUUUCAAGAUGAUGUGAACCUGAUUAACUAAGCAAACUAUUUUAAAUAAUUGAAAGGAGAAAGAUAACUACCAAGUUUACCUCUUGGCAAGGCGUUCGGUGUUUUUAAGUCAUCCGAACGGGACUCUCCGUUUCCUGAGUCAUUCUGGGAUUCGCUGGAUGGCGUAGUCGGUGGUUCCGGCGGUGCCUGCUCUUCGUGUAUAACUAUCUUCUCUCUCUACACCUGCCUCGGUGCUACGGUCUCCUCAGGACAAUUCUGUUCAAGUUGUAUGUCUUCAGACCUUACAACUUCUCCUUCAUAGUCUACCCAUCCGUCCUUGAUGAUUUGCCUCCUCUGGUUGCGGUUGCGUCGUCGUCUUCUUGUCCUGACCUGCUUAGAGUCUUCAACUUUAUAGUUAGGGUCAGUAAAAUAGCGGCGUACCUUCUCAGAGGGGAAGUGCAUGUGGACUUCUCCGGUUCCAAUGUAGAUGAUUGCUUUAACAGUGCUGAGGAACGGUCUCCUUCAACCUUUCGGAAUGUCUGAUCUGCCAUCUGGAGCUUAAUGUAUGUCGGUUUUAGGGGCAUGGUUUCGAAUAGGAGCUGAUAGGUGACUGCGGCCAUUAUGUUGGCGCCUGACCCGAUGUCGCAAAGCAUCUUCUGGAAGUUGUAUCCAUUAGUGGAGCACUGGAUGCUUGGCAUACUUGGGUCGUCCUUUUUGAUCAAGAAAGAUGACUUGAGUUGACGAUCUUGACCUCCUUGAGCUGCAGUGACCAUCUUAGCUGACUCAGUCCACAUUUGCUUGUUCCUAUUCCACAUGUUGAUCCUCUUCCUUGGUUCAUGUCGGGAUUGCUUUAAGAUUUGUGUAGUCUUAUUCUUGAAGGAAAACGUCUCCUUUCUCCCUUUGAUGUAGAAACUGAUCUUGGCAGCACUAGCGUAGAUGAUAGCUCCUGAGGUGUUUAGGAAUGGCCUCCCUAGGAUGGGUGCCCUCUCAUCAGUACCAGUCUCUAUCACCACGAAGUGUGCUGGGGCGUACAAGGUACCAACUCGGACGCAGAGGUUCUUCAAUAUUCCCUUUGGGGAACUUAGUGUCCGAUCUGCAAGCAUGCCGAUGGAGAUUGGGAUGACGAGGCGUCCUGGAUUGUCUCUCUUGACCGGCAGAAGGUCAGUAACUACUUCCACAAUGGGGUUACUCCAUUAGUUACGUCCUCAAGCAUCCUAGGGCAGUGAUUGCCUGAGUGUCCAGUAUCUCCAGUGCGUUUGUACUCGUAGAUCUAGGUUCUUCACUUGGUGGAGUCUGGGAGUUGUAAAAGUCCUUCAUAUUUUGCUCGAAGUGUACCUGCUCAUAGAGACAAGGCAGAGAUCAAGUGCAUGGGCCCUGUUGGUGGAAAACACCAACAGAACCAAAAGUGUAUUUGUUCUCUCUAACCUUAAGCAUAGUGAGCAAGACAAAGUUGAUGGAUAAUAAAAUCAUGAGUGUAGUAUUUAACAUUUGUCAGAUUAGAUUGCUCAACCUUAUGGAAAGAUAAUCUAUCUAUAUAAAUGUUUUUUUCUUUACAUGACUAUCAUUUUCCAAAGAUUGAGUGUGCAACAUUUUAGUUCAUAUGAUUAGGAGUGUGGGAUCACAAAGGUGGAAGGACUAAACAUAUUGAAUUGACUGGGUUGGUUAAUCUAGAGUUGUAAAUCAUACAUGUUUGUCUCUUUUAUUUAUGUGAACGCCAGAAUAAGGAGAAGCUUAUAGAAGUGAUAGUCAAGUACCUUAAGAUGUUACCUUACUUGAAGAGUGAUGGUACAGUAUCACCUUGUGGAAGCUUUCCUUUCUUAGCGGUUGUGCAUCGUGUUUGUGGCACCCUCCAUGGAACAUCUCUUAUGAGCUAUGCCUUCCUUGUAUAAAUUGUUAAACUUCAUGUGCCUCUCUCUUUGUCUCCAAUGUGAGUUUAUCUCAGGACUUCCCAGGUCGAUAUUGAAAGUUUUCCUACAGGGGUUAGUCCAACAAAAUAUCCAAUAUCUACUAUAGCAUACUAUCGGCUCAAAAAUCAACCUAGACACCAUGUCUAAUUUGACUUAGGAGGGUAUUUUAACCUAAGCACCAUGCUUAAUCUAAAAUCCCUUGGAAGUAAGAUCAUCAUUCCUAGCUAAGCACCAUGCUUAAUUAAGAGAUAAAUGAAACUACUCCAAACCUAGACAUAUACUAAAGCAAAUAAAGGUGGCAUGAGAGCAUUUAUACAGAUCUACUCAAGUGGAGAUGAAGUAGUGUGAUUAGUAUUUAACAAAUUGAGCAUGUCUCAAUGGUAAGGACAACCAACAUAGCAACAUGGCAAAGGAUGUUUUAAUGUAAAGUACUCCCCCAAGCUUGAAUUUUGCAAAAUUCAAGUUUGGAUGAAUUUAAUUCAAUGUUGUAUGAUGAUUGGUUGUACAUACCUUGUGCUUGUCAUUCAUCCGAUCUUCUUGCUCCAAUCCUAGAAAGGUUAGUGACAAGAAUACCCGAAGGAAUAUUUUUACAAUUAUCCUAAUAUGCUCAACACACAAGGUAAUGUUGCAAAUAAUUAAAAGCUCAUGUUAUGAUCUGAUCAGUGCUUGUUUUAGGACACUAAGCUUGUCCUUGGGAAACCAUCAGUUUAUGUCAGUGAAGUGGUUUCCUCUCCAAUGCUGACUUAUAUCAAGAUCAACUCAACGAGAUCUGCAAAAUUUAUUAUAGACAUAUGCAUCGACAACCGCCCUUUUAAAGUUUUUAUAAAUAGAAAGAAUGAAGGGGUUGGAGAUCUCGAAUGUGGUGAUGUUGGAAAAACCAAUGGAUUGGAAAGAUGUUGCAUAUGAGCAUGGAGCAAAUGAAGUGGCUAUGAAAUAAUUUCCAUGCUCAUUAAUGCUUAGAGUGAAAAUCAUGUGGUAUGGUGAAAAUGAUAAGGUGAGUGUGGUAAAAAAAGAAAAAGAAAAAGGAUACACGGACGACUUGGUUCGAAACUAGCACAGCUACCGUUCCCCGGCAACGGCGCCAGAAAGCUUGUUGGGUAUUUUAAACGCAAACAGAAAAAAUCCGCAAGCGCACGGAUACCGAUGUAGCCUUCACCCGGGAGUAUUCCAGAGUAUCGAUUUUCCACAGGGAACGUGAGUGUACUAAUUAAGAUCCAAGAUCGCCCAAGGAUAACUAUAUAAUUAUUUUUGGUGGGAAGAGAGGAAGUUUCCUGAGAGUUCUCUAGUUGAUCUAAGAAUCAAGUAUUACUUCAAGAUUAUUUAUUUCGGGACAUCAGGACACUAACCACAGAAAGAGAUGAGAAGGGGGCUAGGAAGCUCCGACUACGGUCCUACAAACACCGAUCCGAACGAGGUGGAAUACGUCGACCGUUAGGGCUGUCACUACCCUAAGGCUACCACAACAAUCCGUAGGAUUGGGUGCAAUUCUAGGUAAUUGCAAGACUAAACACCACGUCUAAUCUAUUAAUUACUACUCUAAUGUUUCAAAGAUUAGAGCACUUGAUGCAAGCGGGAAUCCAAUAAAUAACUUGAAUGUAAAUAAAAGUAAUUAGAGAACUCAGGAGUUAUGAAUUGAAGAACCUGGAGAACGAUGAAGAACGAACCAGAUGCUGCAAAAGUACAAUGUUGAGGAAGAUCCGACAGAUCCGGCUCCUCCUCCUCUGCUCUCCUCUUCUCUCUCCCUAUUUUCUAGAUUACAACUAGAACUAACUAGAACUAGAACUAGAGGAACUAGAACUAGAAGAACUAGAGGGAUCCUCUCUACUUGGAUGAAGAAUUAAAACCCUAGCUUUGAUUCUGUAGAAGAGGUAUGAUCUCCAGGGGCCAGGGGGGUCUGGUUUUAUAGUCCCUUCAAGUGAAUCUGGGCCGUCGGAUCAAACCGACAUUGAUCGUGUGGUUUUCCUUGAAGUAUUAGGUCGGUGGAGCAUGAUCCCCGAACUUCACCCUGAUUGGUCCAGGGGGGAGGGCGGGCGCCCUCAGGACUAGGGCGGGCGCCCAGUGCCUGAGCCCUCUCGGCCUCCGCUUCGGUCCCGUGGCUUCUGGAGUCUUCUAGAUGAUAGAAAAUUGCGCGACACGUUAAUAUCUCUAUGUAAACCAGACGUGUGGGCCUUUCUUCCAUAUUUCCUGAUAACCCCCUGCAGAAAUACACAAACACCAAAACUCGUGGAAUUCUGUCAGAUAAAACCCUAAGUCUAGGUGUUGGUUGCAUUUGGAUCCUUUUCUAUGAUUAAUUGAUGGUUAAUUGUGAGCAUUAAGGACCGUCAACAGCGCCCUACCCCCGAGCCCGUCCGGUCUCCCGUUCGUUCCCGUGGCUCCUGGACUCUUCUAGAUUAAGGAAAAUUGCGCGGCACGUAAUUAUCUCGUUGUAAACAUGACAUGUGGGCCUUCUCUCCAUAUUUUCUGAUAACCCCCUGCAGAAAUAGAUAAACACCAAAGCUCGUGGAAUUCUGUCAGAUAAAACCCUAAUUCUAGAUGUUUGGUGCAUAUUGAUCCUUUUCCAUGUUUAUUUGAUGGUUAAAUUUAGUACUUAAGGACCGUCAACAAACUCCCCCAAGCUUACCCUUUGCUCGUCCCCGAGCAAACAGCUAAACUCAGAUGGAUCAGGAGUUGCUUCGAUGUUUUCUUUUCUGACAGGUACACAUGCUUUUAUAUAAAAAUUCUUCUAGAUUAAAGUGAAGUGUCAUGGAGCUUAGUACCUGCACUUAAGUCUUAAGUAAUUGAAAGACAAAAUAAUUAAGUCAAGCACUAUUGCUCCUGUCUAUACUUCACCUUUGUUCCAGAGUUUUUCAUAUGUUUUCAAAAAUAAAUUCAGAGUUCCAAGCAAUGAUUCUCUCAAGUCUCUCUAUAUGUGGUAUUUGUGGAUCCUUACCAAAAAUAUCACUUACCUAUAGCUUAAUGGAAUAUUUAAGUGGAGCUCGUAGGAGUGAAAAACAGCUCAUACAUAUGUUGUCUAAUCGAGGCAUGGAUCCAAAGGAACUCAGUAUAUAAUUAAAUCAAGAUGUGCAUGUGUGGUGGAGUAAAUGAUAGUGAUGGUAAAAAAAUGUAUAAGUGAUAAUAAAACUUACUUCUCAUUGCUCCUAAUAUUGCUAUCUCUCCUCUUCUUUGAUCUCUGCUUUGGGAGAACAUGGGCUAUCUUUUUCUUUUCUCUCUCUCUUUUUUUUCAGGUGGGUAGUAGACAGCCCUAAUUCUGCUGUCGGACACUUGUCCAUUUUUUCUGCUCAAGUGGGCAUCUUUGUACCCCUAAUUCUACUCCGGACACUUGUCCAUUUUUACCUCUCGUCUCACUCUUUUUCUUUCUUUUCGAGGUUUCGGGCACUUGCCCCUUUUUAUUUCUUCACAUAUUUUUGCAUAACCCAUGCCUCUUCUACAUUGAAUCUUUUUAGAGAGAGAGAAUAACAAUAUUUGGGACAGUGAGUGAUAAUAUUUUUAGCAAUUUUAAUGAGUGGUGGUGGAGGGUGUAGUAGAUGUGUGCAAGUGAAUAUCUUAAUUUAACCACAUGAAAAGCUCCUAAGGGUCUACACAGCUCGAUCAAACUCAAUGUGAAUAUAGUAAAAGAUGUUAUAGGAAGUAUGGCUGUGGUAGGAAGUUUGUAUGCUAGGAACUCAUCAUGUGAUUUGUAAGUUUUCAAAAUAAAUCUCCAGAACUUAGUGUAGUAGGAACAAGAUAAACAGUAGCUCAAACUUUAUAUCAUGCCUUUCUCUUACUUAGACUUUAGUUUUAGGCUCAUGCUCCCAUAGAUAUUAAAUUUCAGAUUUAGUAAUUCCUCGAAGAACUCUAAUAUAAAAGCUUAAGUACUUGAAAGUAAGCAAACAGAGCAACUGUUCAUCAUUUCCAUCAUACAUCUUUUUGGUCUUUUUAUUUUUCUAGAGAUGAAGACUUGGCAUGUAAAUAAAGCACACUUAUCUACACACUCUUUUUAUUUUCUUUUCAUGUUUAUAGAAUGCAGUAAUUUAAAGCAAGAAAAUAUUUAUUGGGUUUUCCAAGUUUUUCUCUUUAAGAUAAAAUGAUAAAAUAGAAAAGAAUAAAUAAGAAAAGCAAAUAAAAGCUUACCUGAUAAAAAGGGGAGGAACUCCCCCAAGCUGGAUGUGGUUGUCGGUCUUACCCAGUGUUCCAGAACCGCAUCAUGGUGGUGAUGUUGUCGUUCAUUGUCGUGGUGUCUUAUCUCAGUUCUUGUACUGCAGUGGCGUGGUUAUAGUUCCAUUUUUUGUUGCUGUUCCAGGAGUCGUCCAUGUUCCGCUUGCGUAUCUUGGAUGGCGAGGAGGAUGUUCUCGGUACGGGUGAAGAAAGCACCGGCCUCUUGGUAGUAGUCGUUCGUGAAAGCAUAAGAGGCGUCGGAGUAUCGUCCUGCAUCGAAUUGGGGCGGAGGUCUAGACCCUGAAGCUCCAUAUGGAUCAGUGGAGUGCCUGCCCGUAUGGAAAGGCGGGUUUGUCCACUGGUGAUCUUGGCUCUCCGGCCAUGUCUCCUGUGUUGGCUCUUAUGGUUGAGCAUGUCGAACCCAUGGGUCCCGAAGGACUCGGGGGUUGUAGUUGCAAUAAUGCAGGUGUGCUGCUUCUUCAGGCCCGGGAUCAACUCCAUACCAGGUGCGUUCUUGAUGGGUGGUCAUCCUUUCAGAUGCCACUCGUUGUGGAGCUCUCUGGUUUACCAGUGUCACUGCAAUCUCAAUCAAAAAAUUUUGAACAACAUAGAGGCCAAGGUUCGGGUUAGGUAACCGAAUCUUGCCUUUGUUAUCAUAUAACAUAUACAUUAUGUUCCCCUCUUUCUUUAACAUCCGAGCUUGUCUAAAUGUGUCAUAGCCAUGAUAAAUCCGUAACUCAUCUAUGAAUUCCAGUGAUGAGUUUCCUAGUAAAUGGAGACUAGAGGCUAGACGAGUGAUAAGUGAAGUACACCCUAUAGGUCCCUGAAGACUAGGUAUACUAAGCCAAUGAGAAACCAAAAGUGUAACAGGUGAAGUGGGUACUUUAUUUACAGCAGCAUAUAGAAGUUGUAAAUCUCCUGCUCUUACUUUCUAAUAUCAUCACGAUAGAAAAGAUUGUACCCAAGCCAUUUGUGGAACAUCCUAAGAGUGGGGUGUUCCAUGUCACUGGUUCGGGCUUGGCUAUAAAACUCAUCUCUAGAUAUCUCUCUCCAAAACUGGUGUCUCUCAAAAUUGGGUAAGUCGGAGUCAAUGUUCAAGAUGCAUCUUGAAGAGAAACCGAGAUGGUUGCUCAGUUCUCUCCAAGACAACAUAAUGUUCUAUUUGAACAUCCGAAAAGCAAUUUCCCACUCAUAAUAUUGUAAAGUGUAAAGAAAUUCAAGGGUGAGAAAACGGGAACCUAGCUCAGUUAUGUUCCAAAAAUUUGUCCAUCCCACCAUCUGGAAAAUUAAAUCGAAUUCAGUAUCCAUACCUGUUUCUUGUAGCAAGAUAGGAUCAAGAGUGGGGGUGUGAAUGAAAUCUUUGUUCUUUUGCUGUUGGUAAACUUCCUUUUCCCUACGGGUCUUCAGUCCAAGGUCUCCUAUCUUGAGGAGGACCUUGACUUGCUGAUCAGAUGAAGAUGACGGAGCUUGCGGGGGUGUUGAGUCAAUGCUCAUCUCUGACUGGUGCGAGGAGUGUCGGGACGAGCUCCUCGUACCAAUGUUCUUGAGGACCUUCCCUGCGUUCUUCACCUUCUUGAACAUCCUGUAGACAAAAGUUGACACACACACAACUAGUGGGAAAUGUGAGAGAAAAUGUUAGUGGUCAGCUGUCCGAAAUGUCAGUAGUCCAGGGGUUAGUCGUACAAGACAAGUUUUUAUUUUGGCAGCACCUACCCCUAAAAACUUUUACUUCCGCUUUGGACAGCGGGAUCACUACUUACUAGGUGAACCUCACUCUCUCACUCAGAGACUACCAACCUCUCUUCCACUCUUCUCUUCCUCUCUACACUCUUCUUAGGCCAUCCUCAAUGAGAGUUUCAUGACACAGUUUCCAACACAUCAAUAUUUUGGAAACAGUGCAUAGGAGUUUCAUGGGGAUGAAACUCUCUCUACUCCCAUGAAACUCUUAUCAUCUCUCUCUUCAUUAAUAUAGCGCCACAUCAGCAUAUUUAAUGUGCAUGAAACUCUAAUGAAACCUCUAUUGAGACUGGCCUUACUUCACUACAAGAGCUCCUUCUCUGGAAACUGAAACUUGCGUGGUUUUCUAGAAUGCUUGUGUGAAGAAGUUGGAGGCAGAAAGUAUCAAUUUAUAGGAGGAAAGGGGGACAGGGCGGGCGCCCACCUUUGGUGGCCAUCCUAGCUGCCUUUUCUCCACUCCCUCCUUUGCUUAGCUCUUACGCAGAAUAAUAGUUCAAUGGUGGUGGUUGGUCGGUGGAAAAGUGCUGGUGAGUGGAGUUAUGUUGGUGGAUCAAAUAAUGUGAUGGGAUGUAUGUGAGGUGUGGUGUAUGACAUGUGGUACCCAAAGAGUGUGGGUCAUGCUUCUAGAAGGUUGCAAUAAUUAAAUAUAAUGCAAGAAAAUCUAUGAGAAUUGAAACAUAUUGAAAAUGAUCAUGGAAAAUGUAACAGAAUCGCCCAAAUUAUAAGAGAUUAAGCCUAAUAGUGACCAUUUGCACAGUCAAACCAUCGAGCUUAAUCCCAUAUAAUCCCGGUAGUCCAUGAAAUCCCAAAGAAUUUCAAACCACAUUUCGUACAUACAGCCAAGAUCGUAAUAAGUUUAGCAGUCACCAUUCACAAUUACACCCAGUUCGCAUCAUUCAUCAAAUACAUCGGAGUACUUAAAGUUAUUACAAACCAAGUUCACAAGUAGCGGAAGCUUCAUAGUUUGAAAGUAACACACACACACAUUUAGUCUGAUACAGUGCCAUAAUUUGAUCAUUCCCACAAAAGCAAAAGAGAAGGUGGAGGGACCAUCGCCCUUGGUCUAGUCAUCACCCAACGCUGGGUACAGGCAGAGGAUGCAAUAACCAUAGUACAUUUGCCCAUCUGCAAAACAACAUGGGAAUGGAACCCUGAGUACGAGAAUGUACUCAGCUAGACUUACCCGUCAUAAAUCAAAGACUCUUCAAGGAUCAUGAAGGCUGUAUAGUGGGGUAGCUGAGACUUUUGCGAAAAGCACUACUCACUAGAAGUACAUCCUGACAGUAUUCUCCUUUCUUUUAAUUAGCUCAGGUUAGGUAUUAUUACCUAUCAUCUAGAUUUGCACCUGUACUAUUUGAAACAAAUGUAGUAAUAUGAUGGUACCUCAUCAUAGCAUUCAUAAACAUUAAUCAUCAUAACCCAAGUGUUCCAUAGUACUUACUACGAGGACGAAGCUCAUGUCAAGUGCUCACUAUCCAGGAGCGAUGGCGAUUCGAAUCAAUUUCUGACCAACUGGCGAGUUAUUCCCCACACACACCACACUCACUAAUCAAGUGAGCUACAGAACACCGUAUUACACUAUCCAGGACCAAAUCGCAGGUUCGGCAGGCACCGCCAGUACCCGAGGACCAUUCCGGCGACCGAGGUAUCCAAGGUAUACCAAGGUUGCGCGCCGCGCCCUCGUCGUUCUCCUCAACCAUCACCAAUACAGCGCAUGGUGGCUCGACUCCCAGCCUGGAUAGUGUUCAGGCUUCAUGGUCGGAACGACUUAUCCUUCCAGCUAAGUGUGGGGCAUGCGUUCAACAUGACAAGAGGGCCGUCAACGAUCGGUCCUUAAUCGACACAGGCAGGGGCACUACGGUCAACCCCACCAUAAGACCCUGCCCGGUCUCAAAUUCCUUUCCACACUUGGUUACUUUUCCCCAUAGCAAUUACAGCUAAUCAAACAGGUGUCCACCUAUAUCUCGUAGGUGGCAGGGAAUCACCCGACUUUUACCAGACUAGGCAAGCUAAGCAUAGACUCCGUGCCUAUCUACAUAGGACAAGGUAGAUAAACAAGGGUGUUGACGGUCCUUAAGUACUAAAAUUAACAAUCAAAUAAACAUGGAAAAGGAUCAAUAUGCACCAAACAUCUAGAAUUAGGGUUUUAUGUGACAGAAUUCCACGAGUUUUGGUGUUUAUCUAUUUCUAUAGGGGGUUAUCAGAGAAUAUGGAGAGAAGGCCCACAUAUCAUGUUUACAACGAGAUAAUUACGUGCCGCGCGAUUUUCCUCAAUCUAGAAGAGUCCAGAAGCCACGGGAACAAACGAGAAGACGAUCGGGCUCGGGUGCAGGGCGCCCGCUGUUGACGGUCCUUAAGUAUCAAAUUUAAUUAUCAAAUAAAUAAAGAAAAGGAUCCAAAUGAAAUCAAGAUCCAAACUUAGGGUUUUAUCUGACAGAAUUCCAUGAGUUUUGGUGAUUGUCUAUUUCUGCAGGGGGUUAUCAGGAAAUACGGAAGAAAGGCCCACACGUCGGGAUUACAUAGAGAUAUUAACGUGCCGCGCAAUUAUCUUACAUCUAGAAGACUCCAGAAGCCACGAGACAGAAGCGGAGGCGAAACGGGGCCAGAGGCAGGGCACCCGCCCUCCUGCCCUAGGCGCCCGCCCCCUCUAGCAGUCCAAUCAGGACUCUGCUUCGUGGGAGAUCUCCACCGACCUAAAGGGUGAAUCUAAACCAUACAAUCUAUGUCGGUUUGAUCCAAUGGCCCAUAUUCACUUGAAGGGACUAUAAAACCAGACCCCCUGGCCCCUGGAGGAGGGAGCCUCUCAACCCUAAUUCAUUGUUCCUCAAGGGAGAAGAAGCCUCUGAUCAAGAUUAGAGCCACCACAUCAAUUAGAUAUCUAGAUUAGCAUAGCUACAUAGGAUUAGAACUAGAAGGAGUCAAUCUUCGAUUGGUUUCCGGAUCUGUCAAGAGGAUUCUUGGUAAUUCUCUAAUUGUGCUUCUAAUUGCUUUCUAAUUAUCUUUGUUCUUCAAUAUUAUGAAUAUGACUUUGUUCUACUUCAAUAUAUUGCUUAUGACUUUGCUCUACUUGCUUAUAUUCAAGAUUAUAUUGUUCUUAGUUUAUCAUAGUUAUGUACUUGGCUUAGUUAGAUUGGAUCUAUAUACAUGCUUAGGAUCGUAUAGCGUUUAUCCAUCGGAUCCAUGGGUAAAUGAUAGAUAUUGUGUAGGCGUGGUGCUUAUACCGUAUUUAUCUGCGAUUGUACCCAAUAUGCCAGAUCGUGGGUUGGUUCGUGAUAGUGACAGCUUCAUUGAUUCUUAUAUAGUCCCCCUCUCGUGUAUUGGGCUGGUAGAGCAACAUUAUUACAGGGGAGUGAUUGCUAUGUUUCUCAUUUACCUUGCUAAUAUCACUAUGCAUGCGCGUAGUCUUGUCUUGCAAUGAUUGCUAAGUAUGCUUGCACUAACUAUGAUAAUGCUAGACUAUAUAGUUGAGAAUAACUCAGGGAAUAUUCUUGUAGUUCGUUCUAAUACCAUGCUAAUGACUUUCUAGAGUAUCUAAUUGAGGUGCUUAUCAUAUUUAUUAUGUGGCUAGAUCAGAUUAGUUAUCCUUGUCACUAUUAUUAUUUCAUAUAUCUUUUAUGUGACACUUAUCCCUGUAUGAAGAGUUAGAUAUAAUGUUCUCAAUUAUACAUGCAAUGAUAGAUGCUCAAUCUCAUAUUCUAUUCUGUAAUCAAUAGUGAUGAUUGCUAAUCCCUUCCCAGUGGUAAAAAUAUAAAUAACGAUACCUGGAAUACUUCCCGGUUAAAAUGCUACAUCGGUAUUAAUCUGUGCGCUUGCAGAUCCCAUUCAUUAUUUAUUUAGAAGAGCAAUUGCAUAUUUCAAUACCGCGCCUCUUAUAUCAUGCUGGGGAUGACAAGUUGGCUUAAGUGGUGUGAGGGAUAGGUUUGGCAUUUUUGGCACCGUUACUGGAUUUAGAGAACUUAGUCUACUUUUGGUAAUGAUGUUAAGAAUACCCAACAAGCAUUUUUGGCGUCGUUGCCGGGGAAGGUUGAUUAAUAAUCAGGAAUGGAAUAAAAGAUUUUGAGUUAUCAUUCGCAUCACUAAUAUGAUUGAGCUUAUCUAUUCUCUCAUACAGUUUUACCCCGAUAUUUUUCUAUUUUAUCUUAUGCAGGGGAAUGUAUGAAUAGAAGACAUCUUCUAGGAAAUUUUGUUGACAAUCCCAAAGCAUUAUUCAAGAAGACGAGAGCCAAGCUCAAGAAGAGAUCAUCAACACUUCAGCAAGAAGCUUCAUCCAAUCAAGAAGAUCACCGGAACUUGUCUUCAGAGUUCGAGGCCAUGGCGAACAAAUCAAUCCGUGAGUUCUCAGCUCCCACUACGGACAACAUCCGCACUGGACCUGCUGCAGAGAUCGAUGGCAACUUUGAGCUCAAGCCUGGACUUAUCAACAUGGUGCAAUCCAACCAGUUCUGUGGGAAGGCACACGAAGAUGCUAGUGCUCAUUUACAACACUUCCUGGAGAUUUGCAACACAUUCACCAUAUCAGGAGUUUCCAAAGAUGCUAUACUACUUCGCCUCUUCCCAUUCUCACUGUUAGGAAGAGCGAAGCAGUGGUUCUACGCUACAAAGGAGAAGAAUACUACGUGGGCACUCUGCUCAACAAACUUCCUAGCAAAGUUCUUUCCCAUGGGCAAGACCAAUGCUCUCCGUGGGAAGAUUACAAGUUUUCAGCAACAAAAUGAUGAAUCUAUUCCAGAAGCAUGGGAGCGCUUUCAAGACUACAUCCUAGAAUGUCCCCAUCAUGGAAUGGAGAGUUGGCUAUUGAUGCAGACGUUUUAUCAUGGGCUCGGCAACAGUGCCCGAGAGACCAUGGAUGCUGCAGCUGGAGGAGCAUUCUUAUCACUUACUAUACCACAAGCCACAGCUCUUGUGGAGAAGAUGGCGUCCAAUCAAAGCUGGAAUGAAGAGAGGACCCAGACACGCAAGAGAGGUGGAGGUAUGCAUCAGCUGAAGGAGGUAGACAUGCUGUCUACAAAGCUAGACCUGCUCAUGAAGAAGCUCGACGAUAAAGCCGGAGACAAGAAAGAAGUUAUGCACAUCUACGACUCUCACAUGACUUGUGAGGAGUGUGGAGACACUGGACACUCAGGCAACCACUGCCCUGAGAUACUUGAGGAUGUGAAUUACAUCAACAACAACAACAACAACUACUACAACCAUCCUCAACAAAAUCAAGGUUGGAAUCAACAGAGGCCUAACUACUCAGGUAAUUAUCAAGGUAACAAUUCUUACAACAAUAAUAAUAAUUUUCCACCUUUGAGAGAGUUAGUGUCUAAUCAAGGAAAGCUAAUGGAUAACCUAUCUAAGAAAUUGGCAUCUAAUGAUAAAAUGCUAGAAAAUAUAAAUAAUAGAAUGGAUAAUUUCUCUACUGCCAUCAAGAAUCAAAUUAGCUUUAAUAAAAUGAUUGAAUCUCAGUUAAAUCAAAUAGCUGCUGCUGUUCCUACUACUAACCUUGGUAUACCAUCACAACCGGAAGGAUUAGAAUCUGCAAAUCUUGUAGACAUGUUUGAUGCAGGUAAUUGGAGUAACCCCGUCACUAAAUUUUCUACUGACCUUCUGCCGGUCAAGAGAGGCGAUCCAGGACGCCCCGUUAUCCCGAUCUCCAUCGGCAUGGUGGACGUUCCAGAAGCACUCUGCGACUUUGGCUCUAGCGUCAACAUUAUACCCAGGGUACUCUAUGAAAAAUUCUUUACAUAUCCUUUAUUAGAGACAACCAUGUGUUUGCAGUUUGCAGAUCAGACGAUAAUUUUUCCAAAAGAAAUAGUGAAGAACCUUUGCGUCCGAGUUGGUACCUUAUAUGCCCCUGCAGACUUCAUAGUGGUAGAGACCGGAAAUGAUGAGAGAGCACCUAUCAUCCUAGGGAGGCCAUUCUUAAACACCACGGGAGCUAUCAUCUACGCUAGUGCUGCCAAGAUCAGUUUCUACGUCAAAGGGAGGAAGGAGACAUUUUUCUUCAAGAACAAGACUACACAAAUUCCAGAUCAAUCCAGACGUAAGUUAAGGAAGAGGACCAACAGGAGGAACAGGAACAAGCAAGUGUGGACCGAGUCAGCUAAGAUGGUCACUGUAGUUCAUGAAGGCCAAGAUCACCAACUUAAGUCACCGCUUUUGACCAAGAAGGACGACCCAGGAAUGCCAAGCAUUUACUGCUCCAUAAAUGGAUACAACUUCUACAAGGCAACUUGUGACACCGGAUCGGGCUUCAACAUAAUGGCCGCAGUCACCUAUCGGCUCUUGUUCGGAACCAUGCCACUAAGACCAACAUACAUUCAGCUCCAGAUGGCAGAUCAGACAUUUCAAGAAGUUAAAGGAAUAGUAACUGAUGUCCCAGUCAAAAUAGAUGAUCACGUUGUCUACACAGACUUUCAGUUUAUUGACAUUGGAGAAGACGAGUAUGAUCCACCCAUCAUCCUUGGAAGACCGUUCCUCAGCACCGUUAAAGCAAUUAUCUAUAUUGGAACCGGAGAAGUCCAUAUGCACUUCCCCUCAGAGAAGGUACGCCGUUAUUUUGGUGACCCUAACUAUAUCAUUGAAGAAUCUAAGCAGGUAAAAAAGCGAAGCAACUGCAACCAGAGGAGGCAGAUCAUCAAGGACGGAUGGGCAGACUAUGAAGGAGAAGUUGUAAGGUCAGAAGACGUAGAGUUUAAACAGAAUUAUUCAGAGGAGAUCGAGGCACCAAGUCAGGUAUGGAAAAUGAAGAUAACUAUACAUGAAGAGGAGGCGCUGCCGGAAGUACCGACUACGCCACCCAACGAACCUCAGGACGAUUAAAGAAAUGGAGAGUCCCGUUCGGAGGACUUUUUAAAAAAAAAACACCGAACGCCUUGCCAAGAGGUAAAAUUGGUAGUUAUCCUUUCCCUUUCAAUUAUUUUAAACAGUUACUUAGUUAAUUAAGUUCAUACUAUCUUAAAAAGAAAAUAAAAAUGUGAAAAACAGUAAGCCCCAUGUGAGUAGACGAGUGGCAUAAAACCCAUAAGUACAUUCACUGUGGUGGCAUAAAAAUAAAAUAAUUAUUUUUCUGCUCUAUAAAAAUAAAAAUAUAAAAACAGGGAGUAAUAUUUAUUAAGGAGUCUCAACAUGAUAAAGGCUAGAUAUUUAUGCUAACACUUAACCAGUUCCACAAGCUUUGUUGUCUAUUUGAACUCCACAGAAUUUAAGAAUCAAGAAGACUGGCAGACAGAGGACAUUCUAAUCGCUGUCAGAAUGCUGCUGACUUUCAAAUACACCUCUGCCACCUGCUAGCUACAUCAAGGAAAAUUACGUCAAAAUUCAGCUUGGGAGAGAGCACCCCCAUUUAUCUCGAUAAGUAUUUCUAUCUAUCUUUAUACUUAUAUUAUUUUAGAAUAUAAAUACACAUAAACUAUGGAAAACCAAAUAAAGAGUUUAUGCUUAUAUAUAUAUGUCUUUUGCUUAGUGUGUUUAAUAAAUAAAUAAAGUGGCUAUGCUAAUCUGUAUCUAAAUAAAACUUAAGCAUGGAUAUGAUGAAUAGUUGCUCUACCUAAUUUGCACAUUUUAAGUUCUCUCUCAAGUUUAGACAUAACUGUUAUAAUUUAAAGCUUGCUCUAGACCUAAACUUGUGGGAUGAAAACUUGAUCUGAAGUCUAAGUUGUUAACGGAUAUGAUAUGGGAAGGUUGAGCUGCUGUUUAUCUGUUCCUAGAGAUGCUAGAAAUUUGGAGAAUUUUAUCUUUGAAAAUCUUUAAAAUGUUGCAUGAUGAGUUUUAUUUGAAAAUCUGGAAAAACCCCAGAGCUAUAGCUGAUCAAGAAUAAGAGACAUGGCACUUGGCUAGACUGUUCUCUCUUUUAACCACUCAAGACAGAAGUGACAGUUACAAGUCCCAUAGUGAAGGUAAAGUAUGUAAGUUUUAAGUCUUGACAGUUUACUCUAACUCAGAGAUGAGAUCUUAUUUAAAAAGCAUGUGUACCGUCAAUUUUUAAAAUAUUGCAACAACUUAUGAUCCAUAGCUGAGUCUAUCCUUGCUCAGGGACGAGCAAGAGGUAAGCUUGGGGGAGUUUGUUGACGGUCCUUAAGUAUCAAAUUUAAUUAUCAAAUAAAUAAAGAAAAGGAUCCAAAUGAAAUCAAGAUCCAAACUUAGGGUUUUAUCUGACAGAAUUCCACGAGUUUUGGUGAUUGUCUAUUUCUGCAGGGGGUUAUCAGGAAAUACGGAAGAAAGGCCCACACGUCGGGAUUACAUAGAGAUAUUAACGUGCCGCGCAAUUAUCUUACAUCUAGAAGACUCCAGAAGCCACGAGACCGAAGCGGAGGCGAAACGGGGCCAGAGGCAGGGCGCCCGCCCUCCUGCCCUGGGCGCCCGCCCCCUCUAGGAGUCCAAUUAGGACUCUGCUUCGUGGGAGAUCUCCACCGACCUAAAGGAUGAAUCUAAACCAUACAAUCUAUGUCGGUUUGAUCCAAUGGCCCAUAUUCACUUGAAGGGACUAUAAAACCAGACCCCCUAGCCCCUGGAGGAGGGAGCCUCUCAACCCUAAUUCAUUGUUCCUCAAGAGAGAAGAAGCCUCUGAUCAAGAUUAGAGCCACCACAUCAAUUAGAUAUCUAGAUUAGCAUAGCUACAUAGGAUUAGAACUAGAAGGAGUCAAUCUUCGAUUGGUUUCCGGAUCUGUCAAGAGGAUUCUUGGUAAUUCUCUAAUUGUGCUUCUAAUUGCUUUCUAAUUAUCUUUGUUCUUCAAUAUUAUGAAUAUGACUUUGUUCUACUUCAAUAUAUUGCUUAUGACUUUGCUCUACUUGCUUAUAUUCAAGAUUAUAUUGUUCUUAGUUUAUCAUAGUUAUGUACUUGGCUUAGUUAGAUUGGAUCUAUAUACAUGCUUAGGAUCGUAUAGCGUUUAUCCAUCGGAUCCAUGGGUAAAUGAUAGAUAUUGUGUAGGCGUGGUGCUUAUACCGUAUUUAUCUGCGAUUGUACCCAAUAUGCCAGAUCGUGGGGUGGUUCGUGAUAGUGACAGCUUCAUUGAUUCUUAUAUAGUCCCCCUCUCAUGUAUUGGGCUGGCAGAGCAACAUUAUUACAGGGGAGUGAUUGCUAUGUUUCUCAUUUACCUUGCUAAUAUCACUAUGCAUGGGCGUAGUCUUGUCUUGCAAUGAUUGCUAAGUAUGCUUGCACUAACUAUGAAAAUGCUAGACUAUAUAGUUGAGAAUAACUUAGGGAAUAUUCUUGUAGUUCGUUCUAAUACCAUGCUAAUGACUUUCUAGAGUAUCUAAUUGAGGUGCUUAUCAUAUUUAUUAUGUGGCUAGAUCAGAUUAGUUAUCCUUGUCACUAUUAUUAUUUCAUAUAUCUUUUAUGUGACACUUAUCCCUGUAUGAAGAGUUAGAUAUAAUGUUCUCAAUUAUACAUGCAAUGAUAGAUGCUCAAUCUCAUUUUCUAUUCUGUAAUCAAUAGUGAUGAUUGCUAAUGCCUUCCCAGUGGUAAAAAUAUAAAUAACGAUACCUGGAAUACUUCCCGGUUAAAAUGCUACAUCGGUAUUAAUCUGUGCGCUUGCAGAUCCCAUUCAUUAUUUAUUUAGAAGAGCAAUUGCAUAUUUCAAUACCGCGUCUCUUAUAUCAUGCUGGGGAUGACAACUUGGCUUAAGUGGUGUGAGGGAUAGGUUUGGCAUUUUUGGCACCGUUACUAGAUUUAGAGAACUUAGUCUACUUUUGGUAAUGAUGUUAAGAAUACCCAACACCCGCCCAGGGUUAGAGUCCAAUUAGGACUCUGUUGACGGUCCUUAAUGCUCACAUUUAACCAUCAACUAAUCAUAGAAAAGCAUCCAAAUGCAACCAACACCUAGACUUAGGGUUUUAUCUGACAGAAUUCCACAAGUUUUGGUGUUUGUCUAUUUCUGCAGGGGGUUAUGAAGAAAUAAGAAAGAAAGGCCCACACGUUGGGUUUACGUAGAGAUAUUAACAUGCCGCGCAAUUUUCUACCAUCUAGAAGACUCCAGAAGCCACGGGAACGAACGGGACGCCGAUCGGGCUCGGAGGCAGGGCGUCCGCCCAACUCUCCUGGGCGCCCGCCCAGCUACAGUGUCCAAUUCGGACCCGUUUCGCGUAUUAUGCUCCACCGACCUAAAGGAUCAAGGAAAACCACACGAUCAAUGUCGGUUUGAUGCGACGGCCCAGAUUCACUUGAAGGGACUAUAAAACCAGACCCCCUGGCCCCUGGAGAGCAUACCUCUUCUACAGAAUCAAAGCUAGGGUUUCAAUUCUUCAUCCAAGUAGAGAGGAUCCCUCUAGUUCUUCUAGUUCUACCUCUAGUUCAUCUAGAUCUAGUUCUAGUUCUAGUUCCUCUAGUUCUAGUUCUAGUUCUAGUUAGUUCUAGUUGUAAUCUAGAAAAUAGGGAGAGAGAAGAGGAGAGCGGAGGAGGAGCCGGAUCUGUCGGAUCUUCCUCAACAUUGUACUUUUGCAGCAUCUGGUUCGUUCUUCAUCGUUCUCCAGGUUCUUCAAUUCAUAACUCCUGAGUUCUCUAAUUACUUUUAUUUACAUUCAAGUUAUUUAUUGGAUUCCCGCUUGCAUCAAGUGCUCUAAUCUUUAAAACAUUAGAGUAGUAAUUAAUAGAUUAGACGUGGUGUUUAGUCUUGCAAUUACCUGGAAUUGCACCCAAUCCUGCGGAUUGUUGUGGUAGCCUUAGGGUAGUGACAGCCCUAACGGUCGACGUAUUCCACCUCGUUCGGAUCCUUGUUUGUAGGACCGUAGUCGGAGCUUCCUAGCCCCCUUCUCAUCUCUUUCUGUGGUUAGUGUUCUGAUGUCCCGAUAUAGAUAAUCUUGAAGUAAUUCUUGAUUCUUAGAUCAACUAGAGAACUCUCAGGAAACUUCCUCUCUUCCCACCAAAAAUAAUCAUAAAGUUAUCCUUGGGCGAUCUUGGAUCUUAAUUAGUACACUCACGUUCCCUGUGGAAAAUCGAUACUCUGGAAUACUCCCGGGUGAAGGCUACAUCGGUAUCCGUGCGCUUGCGGAUUUUUUUGUUUGCGUUUAAAAUACCCAACAAGCUUUCUGGCGCCGUUGCCGGGGAACGGUAGCUGUGCUAGUUUCGAACCAAGUCGUCCGUGUAUCCUUUUUCUUUUCCUUUUUUACCACAUUCACCUUACCAUUUUCACCACACCACAUGGAUUUCACUCUAAGCAUUAAUGAGCAUGGAAUUUAUUUCAUAGCCACUUCAUUUACUCCAUGCUCAUAUGCAACAUCUUCACAAUCCAUUGGUCUCUCCAACAUCACCACUUUCGAGAUCUCCAACCCCCUCAUCCUUUCUAUUUAUAAAAACUUUAAAAGGGCGGUUGUCGAUGCAUAUGUCUAUAAGAAAUAUUGCAGAUCUUGUUGAGUUGAUCUUGAUAUAGGUCAGCGUUGGAGGGGAAACCACUUCGUUGACAUAAAUUAAUGGUUUCCCAAGGACAAGCUUAGUGUCCUAAAAUAAGCACUGAUCAGAUCGUAACAUGAGCUUUUAAUUAUUUGCAACAUUACCUUGUGUAUCGAGCAUAUAAGGAUAAUUGUAAAAAUAUUCCUUCGGGUAUUCUUGUCACUAACCUUUCCAGGAUUGGAGCAAGAAGAUCGGAUGAAUGACAAGCACAAGGUAUGUCCAACCAAUCAUCAUACAACAUUGAAUUAAAUUCAUCCAAACUUGAAUUUUGCAAAAUUCAAGCUUGGGGGAGUACUUUACAUAAAAACAUCCUUUGCCAUGUUGCUAUGUUGGUUGUCCCUACCUUUGAGACAUGCUCAAUUUGUUAAAUACUAAUCACACUACUUCAUCUCCACUUGAGUAGAACUCUAUAAAUGCUCUCAUGCUACCUUUAUUUGCUUUAGUAUAUGUCUAGGUUUGGAGUAGUUUCUUUUAUCUCUUAAUUAAGCAUGGUGCUUAGUUUAGGGCUGAUGAUCUUACUUCCAAGGGAGUUUAAAUUAAGCAUGAUGCUUAGGUUAAAAUGCCCUCCUAAAUCAAAUUAGACAUGGUGUCUAGGUUGAUUUUUGAGCUGAUAGUAUGCUAUAGUAGAUAUUGUAUAUUUUGUUGGACUAACCCCUGCAGGAAAACUUUCAAUAUCGACUUGGGAAGUCCUGAGAUAAACUCACAUUGGAGAUAAAGAGAGAGACACAUGAAGUUUAACAAUUUACACAAGGAAGGCAUAGCUCACAAGAGAUGAUCCAUGGAGGGUGCCACAAACACGAUGCACAACCGCUAAGAAAGGAAAGCUUCCACAAGGAGAUACCGUACCAUCACUCUUCAAGUAAGGUAACAUCUUAAGGUACUUGACUAUCACUUUUAUAAGCUUCUCCUUGGUUCUUCCGUUCACAUGAAUAAAAGAGACAAACAUGUAUGAUUUACAACUCUAGAUUAACCAACCCAGUCGAUUCAACAUGUUUAGUACUUCCACCUUUGUGAUCCCACACUCCUAAUCACAUAAGCUAAAAUGUUACACACUCAAUCUUUGGAAGAGAUAUAAACAAAACAUAUAUAUAGAUAGAUUAUCUUUCCAUAAGGUUGAGCAAUCUGAUCUGACAAAUGUUUUAAAUGCUACACUCAUGAUCUUAUUAUCCAUCAACUUUGUCUUGCUCACUAUGCUUAAGGUUAGAGAGAACAAAUACACUUUUGGUUAUGUUGGUGUUUUCCACCAACAGAGCCCAUGCACUUGAUCUUUGCCUUGUCUCUAUGAGCAGGUACACUUCGAGCAGCAUAUGAAGGACUUUUACAACUCCCAGACUCCACCAAGUGAAGAACCUAGAUCUACGAGCACAAACACACUGGAGAGACUGGAUACUCAGGCAAUCACUGCCCUGAGAUGCUUGAGGACAUAACUACUGGAGUAACCAAUGGAAGUAAUUACUGACCUUCUGCCGGUCAAGAGAAGCCAUCCAGGACGCACCGUCAUCCCGAUCUCCAUCAGCAUGGUGGACUUCCUAGAAAUCGUACGCUAAGUUUCCCAAAGGGAAUAUUGAAGAACCUCUACGUCCGAGUUGGUACCUUAUACGCUCCAGCAGACUUCAUGGUGAUAGAGACUGAUACUGAUGAGAGGGCACCCAUCAUCCUAGAGAGGCCAUUCCUGAACACCUCGGGAGCUGUCAUCUACGCUAGUGCUGCCAAGAUCAGUUUCUACAUCAAGGGAAGGACGGAGACGUUUUCCUUCAAGAACAAGACUACACAAAUUUUAGAGCAAUCCUGACAUGAACCAAGGAAGGACCAACAGGAGGAACAGGAACAAGCAAAUGUGGACCAAGUCAGCUAAGAUGGUCACUGCGGUUCAAGGAGGUCAAGAUUGUCGAGUUAAGUCUCCGUUCCUGACCAAAAAGGACAACCCAGUCACCUAUCAGCUCCUAUUCAGAACCAUGCCCCUAAAACCAACAUACAUUCAGCUCCAGAUGAUUUGAAGGUUAUUGACAUGGGAGAAGACGAGUACAAUCCACCCGUCAUCCUUGGAAGACCGUUCCUCAGCACCGUUAAAGCAAUCAUCUACAUUGGAACCGGAGAAGUCCACAUGAACUUCCCCUCUGAGAAGGUACGCCUCUAUUUUACUGACCCUAACUAUAUAGUUGAAGAUUCUAAGCAAGUCAGGACAAGAACAAGACGACGCAACCGUAACCAGAGGAGGCAAAUCAUCAAGGACGGAUGGGUAGACUAUGAAGGAGAAGUUGUAAGGCCUGAAGACAUAUGACUUGAACAGAACUGUCCUGAGAACACUACAAGAAAUGUGUGGCUUUUUAACGUUUUUAAUAUGACAAUGGUCAUAAUGUCACUACAUCAUCCAUUUUGUGACAUUAUAAUCUAGGCGCUAUGACUUAGUGACAAUAAAAAGUUGUAUGUCACAACAAAUGUCAUUUAACAAGUCAAAUUCCAUCUAGUGACAAUAUUUUUGUGUCAUAAUGCUUGUUUAUGUGUCACAAAUUAUUUUAUUAAAAUUUUUAAAAUAAAUUGUGCAUGUUGAUGUCGGGUGUCUAACAUUGUUGGACUAUACAUUAUUCAUAAAUAGGUAAAAUCUCUCACAUGUCUCAUAUAUAGUUAUAUAACUAUGUGAGAGAUGUAUCCAUUCGUAAACAAUAUACUGUCUCAUUUUGUCAAAAUGAUUUAAAACAAUUUAUUUUUCAUCUAAUUUUAGGAUGUAAUCUCAAAUAUAACAUGUCUUCUUACAUAUUUUUUUCUAAUUUUUGGACAUUGUUAGAUACGAAGUUGUAGUGAUUUUCCAAAUGCACGUAGGUAUUUAUUUAAACAAUAGAAAAUAGUAAAUUGGUUCUUAAAUUUGUGAAACUACUACAAAGAGACAUAUAUGUAGUCUAUUUUAUUUAAAAAGUAUUUUUAGUACAUGAAUAUAAUUGGAUUAGAGUAUUUACUUCACAAGAGUAUAUAAUAAUCAAAUAGUGCUUAUAAAUAAAUCAAAAAAGAAUGAAAUACAUAUAAUUGUCCAUGCCCAGUAUGCAGCCCAGAAAAUAAAGCCCAUGUCGAGUGCAGCCAACCCACUGGAGCCCAAAUCAAACACCGCCUCAUGCUUGACCGUUAGAUUGAAAGGAACGAUCAAGAUGCAUCAAGCGUUGGAUAUAACACUCCCCAGAAACCCUCUCAGCCACCGAGCCUCUCUUCCCCGUUCUCCCCUCCGCAUCCCAGUCCACAUCGUGCUCCUGCUAGGGUUAGCGCAGGUGAGUAGCAGUGGCAUGGGGCCAUGGGUCCCCGUGGGUCGGCGUGCGGAGCAAUGAAGGCCGCUGUGCAGCGGCGAGCGACGGUGGAGCAGGGCAGUUGAGCCAAGGGAGGAGGAGCGGCUGCAGACGUAUCUCGUCAGUCGUCACCAGGACCACGGAGCUGCCGCCCAGGUGGGACGGCCCAUGCGCGACCAACAUGCUCAUCGACAAGCCUAAAGGUGAUGCCUUUCCCCUCCCCUUUGGUACAUUGCAGGUUCUGGGAUUCUCAUCAAAAUGUAUCAUCGGCAAUAUUAGAUUGUCGUAUGUGAGAUUAAGACAGCAGCAGUAUUUUAGAUACUUUUAUCUGAAGCAGCACAGGAAAAUUCCUUUUCUGAAAUGUGAGCGAUUUGCGUAGCAAUUAGAUGCCAGUCAGACAGUGUGGCACUACUGCAGCUUUGCCUCAGGAUAGGGUUCUGCAUUGCGUUUCCUAUCAGGCCAGAUAUAGUAGUAAUUAGUUAAUGUGCAGACAGGAUUAGGUUUGAGCAGUGUUCUAUCUGACCACGCAUUUGCAGUUACUCUGGAAGCUCAGCAAAACGAUUGACUGCUUAUUAUGUCGCUGACUGAAUUUUUUUGUUGCUUUCUCUGUAUUUGUGUGUCACAAAAAGCCUAAAGUAUAAAGGUAGCCAUGCCAACACUAACAAGUUCUAGAGGACAGCCAUUCAGCCCACUCUAGCAGGUUAAGGAUGUUUCUAAUUGUUUAGUAUAAACUUUAUUUAGUUAAAUCAUCAAAACUUCUGUCUUGUAUCAAUAUUUUGUUUCGCUGUGCACUCAUUCAACUCUUAAAUUGAAAUUUGCAGCAAUACUUCAAGGUGGUAAUUUCCUUGGUUCAGUCCAAGAGGAAAUUGGUAAGUUCUCACAAAUUAAUAAAAUGUAUGUCUUUGUAUAUUUUUAAUUUUAUUGCUAGAUGUUCUUGUAAAUUUCAUUGUGUUGGAUCUAUACAUGAGAGGGAGAAGAGAGGUUUGUGCAAGAGGAAAAAUGUUACUUUUGACUUUCCCUGUGUGGUUCAGCUGACUCUCAGGUGCGUUUCACAUAGUUAAUAAAAUUGUUUAGUAGUUGGUGCCUUAUGGCCGUGUUCUUAGUUAUUUAGUUGGUUUGCUUGCUAUGCUUGUUUUCGUUUAUGCUAUACUACCAGUAAGCAUCUCGAAUUGCUGAUUGAUGUUGUCUCAACUUUGGACAAGCAGCUCCCUUGAAAGGUCAGCUUGAUAACCCAGUUUAUAGUGCAAUAACCUGGUUUCAGAGAUGUCAUUCUGUUAUUCCUAGUUCAUUUAAUGUGUUCAAGGCACAAUGAUAUGAUAGUCUUCAUGGCACAAGUGUGACGUCUUAGGGUAAGCAAAAUUAUUUUGAUGAUCUUAGGGGUAGGGAUUUGGGACGAAAUUUGGAAAAACUUUUGAUUUAGGGUUCGGAUUUUGGGAUUUUGGGGAAGAACAGGAUCUUUGAGAUCAAGACUGAUUUGACUUCCCUUCCUAUACAUCUACAUGUAGGUUAUUUUGCUUUCCUGUUCUAUUUAGAGAGUAUAUGUUUUAUCAUAUGCUAAGGUAAAUCUUUAUUAUAUAUGAUGCGCUUGUGUUGGCAUGCUUAGAUCGUAUCCAUAAUUUAGAGAGCAUAUGUUAGUCAUAGCAACGUACAUAUGAUUCCAUUCUCAUUUGUCUACAGGGAGGAAAUUGUGAGGCCAAAUGCAAUUAGUUUUUCUGCGCGACUACAGCAACCACUGAAUUCCGUAGGGUGAGUGAAGCUUCCUUUCUUCAAUUACCUUUUGCCAUAAGGACUACUCUAAACUUUGGUGUCUAUAUGAUGCAAUGUCCUGUUCUAUUUUCCAAUACUAGUGUUUUUUUGUUGUCUAAAAAUAUAUCUUUGCUUAACAGGUAUCUUUUGAUCUUUAAAAUUGAUACUGCAAUUUCUGAUACAGUGUGGGAUGGAGCAUUAUGGUUCUGAAUCCCAUCUGUAGUUGCUAAUGAUAAAACCUAUACUCUUGUGCUAUUCAUAUGAGAAUGUUUAUCCCUACUCUAGUUCUACAGAGAAUUUGGCUAUGAUUGCAUAACUGUUUUUGUGUUCUGGAUACAACCAUUACGUUAUUGUAGUUUGCUCCCAUUGCAGUUAAAAACCAACAGUUUAGCUGCUCAUCCAUGUCAACAAGCACGAAGGUAAUUUAUGACUUAGUUUAAGACUAGAUCUAAUUCGUGACUGAAUUUUAGAUGCAGUACCUGGUUAUUGGCAGGUGGAGAUUGCACAUGCCUAUGAGAAGAAUAGCGUGGCCUGCUUCAGCAUCUGAUCGAUGAGAAGCACUUCCAGCGGACCUUUGAGAUGAGAACUAGUAUUGUAAAAGUGCUCAUGGUGGCUAUUUUUGAACAAUUUUGUUAUGCAAGCAAAUCAUAUGAGUUGUAUUAUGCAAGCUACCCUCUUAGUUUUGUAGCUACUUGUGUGUAGCUUGCUUAUUGCCUUUGUAUUUUCUACGAAAAGUUGUACAAGUACAAAUGUUGAUGGUUUCAAUGAAAAAGAUGACCAAUAUUUUGUCAAUUGUGAGCUUUCUUCCAAUUUAUAUGUAUUUCAUGAGCGUGCCACAAACACAUGGGCAUGAAUAAUGGGCCAUAAACAGCAUACUGACGUGUAACAGAAUUAUGAUGGUUGAGACAUUUUUUGUAGUGUUUGUGACAUUUUUUUUCCUGCCAUGUCAGCUGCCACGUAGCAAGACCUACGAUUUUAUGACAAUAAAUCAAUGUCAUAUGCUUGUGACAUGAACCAAACAAAUGUCACAUAAUCAUUUUAUGACGCGGGCUUUUCCACGUUUUGAUUUUUGUCAACUUGAUGUCACAAAUCUUAAUUUGUAACAUAAAUUUCAUAUAUUGUGACAUAACUAAACGUUAAAAAGCCAUGUGUUUCUUUUAGUGGAAGACCGUAGCACCGAGGCAGGUGUGAAGAAAGAAGACAGUUAUACAUGAAGAGUACGUGCCGCCGGAACCACCGACUACGCCAUCCAGCAAAUCCCAGGACGACUGAGAAAACGGAGAGUCCCGUUCGGAGGACUUAAAAGCACCGAACGCCUUCCCAAGAGGUAAACUUGGUAGUUAUCUUUUUCCUUUCAAUUAUUUAAAAUAGUUUACAUAGUUAAUCAGGUUCAUAUCAUCUUGAAAAGAAAAUAAAAAUGUUAAAAAUAGUAAGCCCCAUGUGAGUAUGCUCAUGGCAUAAAACCCAUAAGUACAUUCACUGUGGUGGCGUAAAAAUAAAAUAAAUAUAUUCAUGUCCUAUAAAAAUGAAAAUAUAAAAAUAAAUUUAUGAUCCUACUAAAGAGAGUAACAUUUAUUGAGGAGGCUCAACAUGAUAAAGGUUAGAUACUUAUGCUAACACUUAACUAGUUUCAUAAAGCUUUGUUGUCUAUUUGAGCUCCACAGAAUUCAAUGAUCAAAGAAGACUAGCUGACGGAGGACAUCCUAAUCACCGUCAGGAUGCUGCUGACAUUCAAAUACAUCUCCGCCACCUGCUAGCUACAUCAGAAGAAAUUGCGUCAAAAUCCAGCUUGGGGGAGAGCACCCCCAUUUAUCCAGCUAAGUAUUCUACUCACGUUUAUACUUUACUCUAAUAAUAAAAAGAUGCAUAAUCAUAUAAACCCAAAUAAAGAUUUUGUGCUUAUAUAUAUAUCUUUGCUUAGUUUGCUAAAUAAAUAAAUAAAUAAAGUUUGCUAUGAACCCUCAUGAUAAUCUCUCAUAUGGAAAUGAUGAAUAGUUGCUCUACCAUGACUAGUUCUCAAAAUUGAAAUCUGUCUCAAGUUUAGGCAUGACUGUUAUUAAUUAAGAUUUGCUCUAAACCUGAACUUGUGGGAAGAGUACUUGAUCUAAAGUCUAAGUUGUUAACGGAUAUGAUAUGGGAAGGUUGAGCUGUUGUUUAUCUGUUCCUAGAGAUGCUAGAAUUCUGGAGAAUUUUAUCUUUGAAAAUCUUUAAAAUGUUGCAUGAUGAGUUCCUGUAUGAUGAGAGUUUAAAUUCCUACCACAGCCAUAUAUACAUGCUUGCUAGACUUUGAGCCACACAUUUAUUUUUUUUAUUGCUUAUGAGCAUUGAGUGUGGUCAAGCUUUGUAGACCCUUAGGAGCUUGUCAUGUGGUUAAAUCAAGGUUCACUUGCACGUUCACUCACACAUGCUGCUUCUACUCCGGAAGUAUGCAUCCACAUAUAUCCAUCCAUUUCCAUCUCCAGAACCACCUAAAAAUAUUCUACUCCUAAUCCGGGAGAGAAUAGCCAAAAAUAUUUCUGUUUUCCCCUGUGAAAUAAAUGCUCAAGUUAUCUCGUUACUACCACUUGCUAUAUUAUCUCAUGAAAUGAGUGCUCUAAAAAAAAGAAACAAAAAAAGAGAAGAUGCGAGGAAAUAAAAAGGGGCAAGUGCCCGGAACCUCAAAAAAAAAGUGAGACGAGAGGUAAAGAUGGACAAGUGUCUGACAGUAGAAUUAGGGGUACAAGAUACCCACCUGAGAGAAAAGGAAAAGAAAAUAUAGAGCAUCUCAUUCUCCUCAAAAGUUUCAAAAGAGCAAGGAAGGUAUGUAUCCCCUCAAAAGAGCAAAAGUAGAAUUAGACUUUCACCAUUCUUAUCACCAUCAUUACCAUGCAUCAUUCAUUCGCCACACAUACACAUCUUGAUUUGACUUAUUGAUUUGUUCUUCUGGAUCCAUGGUUUGACUAUGCAAUAAAUGUCUUGUAAGUAUGUAUUAGCUGUCUCCCACCUAUGAGCUCCAGAUAUCAAAACCUUAUUAGAGUAGGGUGAGAGAGAAGGCAAUGCCACUAUGCCCCAUACCAAAAAUACUACAUACUUUGAGAGAAGGCAUAUACCAUUACUGCCUUGGUAAGGAUCAAGAAAUACCACAAAAGAGAGAUUUGAGAGAGUCAUACAAGGAAUCUCUGAGUUUUAUUUGAAAAUCUGCAAAAACCCCAGAGCUAUAGCUGAUCAAGAAUAAGAGACAUGCCACUUGACUAGACCGUUCUAUCUUUUAACUGCUCAAGACACAAGUGACGGUUGCAAGCCCCAUAAUGGAAGGUACAAUGGGUAAGUUUAAAUCUUAACAGUUUACCCUAACCCAGAGAUGAGAUCUUGUUUGAACCCAUGUUCAUCUUUAAGGUAUGAAACCACUGCAGAAACUCUUGAGUUCAUCUUUGCUCAGGGACGAGCAAAGGUUAAGCUUGGGGGAGCUUGUUGACGGUCCUUAAUACUCACAUUGAACCAUCAACUAAUCAUAGAAAAGGAUCCAAAUGCAACCAACACCUAGACUUAGGGUUUUAUCUGAUAGAAUUCCACAAGUUUUGGUGUUUGUUUAUUUCUGCAGGGGGUUAUCAGGAAAUAAGGAAGAAAGGCCCACACGUUGGGUUUACGUAGAGAUAUUAACAUGCUGCGCAAUUUUCUACCAUCUAGAAGACUCCAGAAGCCACGGGAACGAACGGGAGGCCGAUCGGGCUCGGAGGCAGGGCGCCCGCCCAACUCUCCUGGGCGCCCGCCCAGCUACAGUGUCCAAUUCGGACCCGUUUCGCGUAUUAUGCUCCACCGACCUAAAGGAUCAAGGAAAACCACACGAUCAAUGUCGGUUUGAUCCGACGGCCCAGAUUCACUUGAAGGGACUAUAAAACCAGACCCCCCUGGCCCCUGGAGAGCAUACCUCUUCUACAGAAUCAAAGCUAGGGUUUCAAUUCUUCAUCCAAGUAGAGAGGAUCCCUCUAGUUCUUCUAGUUCUACCUCUAGUUCAUCUAGAUCUAGUUCUAGUUCCUCUAGUUCUAGUUCUAGUUAGUUCUAGUUGUAAUCUAGAAAAUAGGGAGAGAGAAGAGGAGAGCGGAGGAGGAGCCGGAUCUGUCGGAUCUUCCUCAACAUUGUACUUUUGCAGCAUCUAGUUCGUUCUUCAUCGUUCUCCAGGUUCUUCAAUUCAUAACUCCUGAGUUCUCUAAUUACUUUUAUUUACAUUCAAGUUAUUUAUUGGAUUUCCGCUUGCAUCAAGUGCUCUAAUCUUUGAAACAUUAGAGUAGUAAUUAAUAGAUUAGACGUGGUGUUUAGUUGUGCAAUUACCUGGAAUUGCACCCAAUCCUGCGGAUUGUUGUGGUAGCCUUUGGGUAGUGACAGCCCUAACGGUCGACGUAUUCCACCUUGUUCGGAUCGGUGUUUGUAGGACCGUAGUCGGAGCUUCCUAGCCCCCUUCUCAUCUCUUUCUGUGGUUAGUGUUCUGAUGUCCCGAUAUAGAUAAUCUUGAAGUAAUUCUUGAUUCUUAGAUCAACUAGAGAACUCUCAGGAAACUUCCUCUCUUCCCACCAAAAAUAAUCAUAAAGUUAUCCUUGGGCGAUCUUGGAUCUUAAUUAGUACACUCACGUUCCCUGUGGAAAAUCGAUACUCUGGAAUACUCCCGGCUGAAGGCUACAUCGGUAUCCGUGCGCUUGCGGAUUUUUCUGUUUGCGUUUAAAAUACCCAACAGACUCUCUUUCGAGACUAAACUCCACCGACCUAAUGGAUGAAUCUAAACCAUACAAUCAAUGUCGGUUUUAUCCAACGGCCCAAAUUCACUUGAAAGGACUAUAUAACCACGGCCUCUACACCCCUAGAAGAGAGGAGAAGAGAAGAAAUCAUUAUUCAGAGGUAGCCAUCACAGUUAGGGUUUAGAGCUUCUCUCCCACCGAGAAUUAGAAUUUCCUACUCCCUAAUCCUUCAAGUUUAGAGGUUUGAUUAGAUAGCAAUUAGAGAAGUAGAGCACUACGCUCUGUAUUCGGAUCUUCGGUAAUAAAGUUUGGUAUUAUUCAUAUCUUUCUCUAAUACUUUGUUCUAAUUACAUUAUGUCUUUAUUUAUUAUGUUCUUAGUUUGCUCUAGUUCUAUAUUUGAUAUAGUUAUGAUUGAUAAUGAGUUUAUGUAUAAGUUUGCAAAGCGCUUAGCUCUUGACGCGAGGGAGUUAAGUGGUAGAUCACAUAUGGGCGUGGUGCUUAGAUGUUAUUUACCUACAAAUGUAUCCUAUUGGCCGGGUCGUGUGGUAGUUCGCGAUAGUGACAGCUUCGUUGAUUCUUAUAUAGUCCACCCUCCGUUGAUAGGACAGGCAGAACUUGUAUUGCGGAGUAAGUCUUGCGAUGUUCUGAUUUACUUUAGCAAUGUUCCUUAUACAUGAAUGAAGAGUCUUUUAUGCUAUAUAUGAUCUUGUAGAUAACUAGAGUAGAUUAUGACUUAGUAGAUAGUAGAUAACUGAAUCCAUUCUCUAGCUAAUCCGACGUCACCUACAUAUAUGAGGAGUAGUCUAUUUUCUAAUCGCUGUGUUAUUUACCCUUGAACUUAUAAUUCAUUAUCAUUAUCUUUAUGGUUUACCCCCUGCCAAAGUAAGUGAUAGUGUGACGAGUUUCUCAUUAGUAAUCAUGUUCUUGCCAGUUUAUCUCUAGUCUAUGCCUUGAUAGAUUUUGCCCUUAUUUUAAUUUCAUCCCUUUUGUUCUCUUAAGCAAAAUUAUAAAUAACGAUACCUGGAAUACUUAUCCUGGUGAAAUGCUACAAUGAGGUGUUUUAUCUGUGCGCUUGUGAAUAGAAUAGAUUAUUUUUUAGAAAGCCUUUAUAUUUAUAAAUACCUUUGUACACUCUGGCACCAUGCUGGGGAUGACAACCUAGUAUCUAAGUGGUGUUAGCUAGUGUCAACAAGCAUUUCUAGCGCCGUUGCCGGGGAACAAAAGGGUAACACAUAGGAACGGUAAGGAAAGUCAGGAAAUCAGUCAAGGUUAUUCACAUAAAAUAUUAGACUAGACUAUAGAGAAAUAAUUGCAUAAAAUAGCUACUAAGUGAGAAAUCAUAACAAGGCACCUCUGCUUUGGCAGGUUCACCCUGUUGUUUUUCUAUGUUUAUAUUUUUAUACAGGGUACAUCAGGAUUGACUUUGGGUACAUUCAACUCUUCAUCAUCAGAACCAAAGCAAUCAAGAAAGAAAGAAGAAGCUAGCUACCAAUUGUUGAAGCUAUGGCACAGAAGACCCUACAAGAAUUCUCUGCUCCAAGUGUUGAGAACAUUCCAACUGGUCCAAGAUUUGCAGUAGAAGAAGGAGCACCUGAGUUCGAGCUCAAGUCAAGCCUCAUCAAUUUGGUACAAGCUACACAAUUCAGUGGAAAGGCACAUGAAGAUGCUAGUGCACACUUGCAGAAUUUCUUAGAGAUUGGAAGCACAAUCCACAUCAACGGAGUUGACAAAGACGUCAUACUGCUUCGCCUUUUUCUAUUCUCACUAGAAGGGAAAGCAAGGAAGUGGUUCUACACUCAUCAAGAUAACAUCAACAACUGGACAAACUUGUCAGAUGUCUUUCUAUCAAAGUUUUUCCCUAUAGGCAAAACAACUGCCUUAAGAAGAAAUAUUGUCAGUUUCCAACAGCAGAAGAUAGAAGCCAUUUUAGAAGCAUGGGAGCGUUUUCAAGGAUACAUUUCAGAUUGUCCUCACCAUGGAAUGGCCACAUGGUUACUUAUGCAGACCUUCUACCAUGGAUUAACCCAGAAGGCUCGUGAGUGCCUAGAUGCAUCUGCUAAAGGGGAGCUUACAACUGGAAAAGCAAAGAUACUUUUGGAUAAGAUAGCAGAAAACCAAAGCUAGUUCCAAGAUGAGGCUCAACAAUGUCAUCAAACUGAAGAAAUACCAAAAGAAGUAAAUGCAUUAUCAACUAAAAUGGAAAAUUUGCUCCAUUGGAUUGACCAGAGGACCAAGUUCAAAGAAGAUCAAAGGGCCAUAGAGACAUCAUACAAAUAUCAAACCACUUCAAGUCAACCCAAUAGCAAAGGUAUGAAUUCAGGUAAUACUUUCAAGCAACUUUCAUUAAAAGAGAUAAUUGCUCAACAAACUAAAAUUAAUGACAAAGUUAAACAAAGGCUAGAUGCAAAUGAAUCAUCUCUAAAAGAUAUACACAAUAAAAUGGAUUUUCUACUAACUGCCUUUGAUGAGCAAUUAAUAAGAGGGUAGAGCUUAAAUUAAUAAAGCUAGCUGCUGCACUGCCUGUUGCUACUAACAUUGAGCAGGUAAAGAACAUAACUACUAGAGGAGGCAAAGCCACUAGAGAUCCCCCAUACCCAAAAGAGAAACAAAUAACAUCAGCACCAUUGCAACUAGCAGUGACAGAAGAAGAAAGCCCAGUUGAAGCAGAAGAUAUGCUACAACCACCAAGAACUAGAGAAAUGAGGAAAGAUUUUUAUGACACCAACUAUUUGCCAUUUCCCAGAAGAAACAGAGGACUGCAGUCGGAUGAGCAGUUUGGUAAGUUUGUAGAGGUCAUUCAGAAAUUAUAUGUCAACAUACCUCUACUUGAUGCGAUACAGGUACCCACAUAUGCAAAGUACAUCAGAGAUAUUCUUAACAAGAAGAGACCACUCCCACCACUGAGGUUAUCCAGCUGACAGAAGAAUGUAGUGCGGCCAUCCUCAAUAAACCACCAAAGAAGAAGGAAGAUCCCGGAUGUCCCACUAUUGAUUGCUCAAUCGGAAACCAACACUUCAACAAUGCACUUUGUGAUCUCGGAGCAAGUGUCAGUGUGAUGCCAGCAUCAGUUUACAAAAAAUUUGAGCAUACGACCCUAGAACCAACAUCAAUGUGCCUGCAACUAGCGGAUCAAUCGGUUCGACACCCGUUGGGUAUCGCCGAGAACAUUCCAGUCAAGAUCAAAGAUUUUCUUGUGCCAGUAGACUUCGUAGUACUGGACAUGAGUCCUGACUCAAAAGUGUCCAUCAUCCUUAGAAGGCCAUUUCUGAGCACUCCCAAUGCCCACAUUGAUGUCGGGAAGGGAGAAAUCAAGUUCAACAUAAACGGACAAGAAGAACACUUCACAUUCAAACCCAGACCAGAGAGAGAUCCUACAGUGAAGGAAGUUCAUGAAGAACCACUGGAGACACCAUCUCCGGAGGAAGGUAAUUCAGAAGAUUAAAAGAUUUGGAGGUCCAGCUUGGGGAACCUAAAAAAUCCCAAACCCUCACCGGAAGGUAAAUCGGUAUUUAUCCGCAUCGUUAAUUCUUGCAUAAUUUAUUCUUGCAUUAGUCAUAUUUAUUCAUAGCAUUAUUAUAAUAAUAAAAAGCCCCAUAUAAAUAAUAUUCAUGGUGUGUAACAACCCAUAUUUAUUAACUAUUGUGGAGGCACAAAAAUAUUUCUCAUUUUGAUUUCAAUAAGUUUUAAUUCUCAAAGAUUUUUCUGCAUUAUAUUUAAUUAUAGUAACCUUCUAGAAGCAUGACCUACACUCCUUGGGUCCCACAUGUCAUACACCACACCUCACAUACAUCUCAUCACAUUAUUUGAUCCACCAACAUAUCUCCACUAACCAACACUUUUCCACUGGCCAACCACCACCCAUGAUCCAUUAUUUUGCGUGAGAGUUAAGCAAAGGAGGGAGUGGAGAAAGGGCAGCCAGGAUGGGCACCACAAGUGGGCGCCCACCCACCUACAGAGGGCGCCCACCCUGUCCCCUCUUCCUCCUAUAAAUAGCCACCUUCUACCUCCAUCCUCUCCACACAAGCACUCCAGAAAACCACACAAGUUUCAGUUUCCAGAGAAGGAGCUCUUGUAGUGAAGUGAGAAGAUAGUAGAGAAGAAGAGAAGAGUGGAAAAGAACUUGGUAGUUUUUGAGUGAGAGAGUGAGCUUCACCUAGUAAGUAGUGAUCCCGCUGUCCAAGCGGAAGUAAAAGUUGUUUAGGGGGAGGUUCUGCCAAAAUAGAAACUUGUCUUGAAUGACUAACCCCUGGACUACUGACAUCCCGGAUAGCUGACCACUAACAUUUUCUCUCACAUUUUCCACUAGUUGUGUUUUUGCCAACUUUGUUUACAGGAUGUUUAAGAAGGUGAAGAACGCAGGGAAGGCUCUCAAGAACAUUGGUACAAGGAGUUCAUCCCGACACUCCUCACACCCAUCAGAGAUGAGCGUCGACCCAACGCCUGCACAAGCUCCGUCAUCUUCAUCUAAUCAGCAAGUCAACGUCCUUCUCAAGAUAGGAGACCUUGGAGUAAAGACCCGAAGGGACAAGGAAGUCUAUCAGCAACUGAAGAACAAAGAUUUCAUUCACACGCCUACUCUUGAUCCAAUCUUACUACAAGAAACAGGUAUGGACACUGAAUUUGACUUAAUUUUCCAGAUGUUAGGUUGGACAAAUUUUUGGAAUAUAACUGAGCUGGGUUCUCGUCUUCUCACCAUCAAAUUUCUUUGCACUUUACAAUACUAUGAGGGGGGAAUUGUUUUUCGGAUGUUCAAACAGGAGAUUAUGUUGUCUUGGGAGCUGAGCGACCAUCUUGGUUUCUCUUCAAGAUGCAUCCUGAACAUUGACUCCGACUGUUGACACUUGCUAACACCACUUGAAUACUUGGUUGUCAUCCCCAGCGUGGCACUAGAGUGUACUAUGGUAUUUAUACGCACACAGAUAAUCCGCAAGCGCACGGAUACCGUUGAAGCUUUUACCCGGUUAAAGGUUUUAUCGUAUCCACAGGGAAACGGGAGAACUGAUCUACGCUCUAACUUAACCAAGAUAAGUAAAUAGGUGUGAAUAGGAAAGAUGGUAGAAUCGAAUAAGAACAAUAUUAAAGGUAAGAUAACAGUGAGUGAUAAUAUGGCAAUAGAGAGUAGAGCAAUUCUAGUAUAUGGGCGAUGGUAGCAGAAUAGAGAGGAUAACUAUGGUUUCUCUACUUCAAAGGGGUAUGUCUAUGUCUGGGACGAACCACGUGAUAAGAGUACACCACAAAGGAUGCUUAUCCAUAGGCCGAUAAACCCUACCCGUCCUGCUAACGAGAGGUGGACUACAGGGGACCAACGUAACUGUCACCUACGCGGCCUACCACACGAUCCAGCUAGUCAGGGGAUAUCCACAAGUAAUCUAGGUCUAAGCACCACGCUUACACCUAUACUACAACUCUAACCUAUAGGGUCCUAUAGAUUAGAAGUACUCAAAAGAGUUGUGAACCAGAACAUACAUGAUUAGUAAUUGCAUAAUGAAUUAGAAGUAGAUUACCAGAGUCAUCCCAUGAGCAAGCUUGAUUAGAGCUUGAUCAUGGCGAAGUACAACCGGAGGAAGAACCGACAGGCCGGCCUCUCCUCUAAUCCUCCUUCGCUCUCCAUCUCGCUACUAUCUAGAUCUACUCUAGUUUAGAGAAGAGAGGAGAGCUCUCAUCUCUAAACCCUAGCUUUUGCUCUGUGUAUGAAUAAUGAAUAAUGAUCAAGGGGUGCCUCCUCCAGGGGCCAGGGGGUCUGGUUUUCUAGUCCCCUCAAGUGAACCUGGGCCGUCGGAUCAAACCGACAUUGAUUGAACGGUUAUUCUUGAUCCUUUAGGUCGGUGGAGCAUAAUCCGCGAGAUUGAGCGUGAUUGGCCGAAAAAGGUGGGCGGGCGCCCUAAGGACUUGGGCGGGCGCCCUGUCCCUGACUCCGUUCGGUCUCCGCUUCCUUCCCGUGGCUUCUGGAGUCUUCUAGAUGUAAGAUAAUUGCGCGGCACGUUGAUAUCUCUAUGUAAUCCCGACGUGUGGGCCUUUCUUCCUUAUUUCCUGAUAACCCCCUGCAGAAAUAGACAAACACCAAAACUUGUGGAAUUCUGUCAGAUAAAACCCUAAGUCUCGAUGUUGAUUUCAUUUGGAUCCUUUUCUUUGUUUAUUUGAUAGUUAAAUUUGAUACUUAAGGACCGUCAACAAACUCCCCCAAGCUUACCUCUUGCUCGUCCCUGAGCAAGGAUAGACUCAGCUAUGGAUCAUAAGUUGUUGCAAUAUCUUUAAAAAAUUGACGGUACACAUGCUUUUAAAUGAGGUCUCAUCUCUGAGUUAGAGUAAACUGUCAAGACUUAAAACUUACUUACUUUACCUUUCACCAUGGGACUUGUAACCGUCACUUCUGUCUUGAGUGGUUAAAAGAUAGAACAGUCCAGUCAAGUGCCAUGUCGCUUAUUCUUGAUCAGCUAUAGCUCUGGAGUUUUUGCAGAUUUCCAAAUAAAACUCAGAGAUUCCUUUGUAUGACUCUCUCAUAUCUCUCUUUUGUGGUAUUUCUGGAUCCUUACCAAGGCAGUGAUGGUAUAUGCCUUCUCUCAAAAUAUGUGGUAUUUGUGGUAUAAGGGAUAGUGACAUUGUCUUCUCUCUCACCCUACUCUAAUAAGGCUUUAAUAUCUGGAGCUCAUAGGUGGGAGAUAAAAUAUACAUACUUACAAGACAUUUAUUGUAUAGUCAAACCAUGGAUCCAAAGAAAGAAAUCAAUUAGCCAAAUCAAGAUGUGCAUGUGUGGCGAAUGAAUAGUGUAUGGUGAUGAUGGUGAUAACAAUGGUGAAAGUCUAAUUCUACUUUUGCUCUUUUGAGGGGCUACAUACCUUCCUUGCUUUUUGAAACUUUAUGAGGAGAAUGAGAUGCUCUUCUUUUUCUUUUCUCUCAGAUGGGUAUCCUGUACCCCUAAUUUUACUGUCGGACACUUGUCCAUUUUUACCUCUCGUCUCACUCUUUUUCUUUUCUUUCGAGGUUCCGGGCACUUGCCCCUUUUUAUUUCCUCGUUUAUUUUUUUUUCUUUUCUCUUUUUUUUCUUCUUUUUUUAGAGCACUCAUCUCUUAAGAUAAUAUAGCAAGUGGUAGUAGCAAGAUAACUUGAGCAUUUAUUUCACAAGGGAAAAACACAGAUGUUUUUGGCUAUUCUCUCCCGAAUUAGGAGUAGAAUAUUUUUAGGUGAUUCUGGAGAUGGAAAUGGAUGGAUAUAUGUGCUUGGUACUUCCGGAGUAGAAGUAGCAUAUAUAUGAGUGAACGUGCAAGUGAAUCUUGAUUUAACCACAUGACAAGCUCCUAAGGGUCUACACAGCUUGACCACACUCAAUGCUCAUAAGCAGUAAAUAAUAAAUGUGUGGCUCAAAGUCUAGCAAGCAUGUAUAUCUGGCUGUGGUAGAAAUUUAAACUUUUAUCAUACAGGAACUCAUCAUGCAACAUUUUAAAGAUUUUUCAAAGAUAAAAUUCUCCAGAAUUCUAGCAUCUCUAGGAAUAGAUAAACAGCAGCUCAACAUUCCCAUAUCAUAUCCGUUAACAACUUAGAUUUCAGAUCAAGUUUUCAUCCCACAAGUUUAGAUCUAGAGCAAGCUUUAAAUUAUAACAGUUAUGUCUAAACUUGAGAGAGAACUUCAAAUUUGCAAAUUAGGCAGAGCAAUUAUUCAUCAUAUCCAUGCUAGAGUUUUAUUAUUAAGAUUCAGAUUAGCAUAGCCACUUUAUUUAUUUAUUAAACACACUAAGCAAAAGAUAUAUAUAUAUAAGCACAAAAUCUUUAUUUGGUUUUUCAUAGUUUAUGUAUUUUAAUAUUCUAAUAUAAUAUAAGUAUAAAGAUAGGUAGAAAUACUUAGCGAGAUAAAUGGGGGUGCUCUCCCCCAAGCUGAAUUUUGACGUAAUUUCUCUUGAUGUAGCUAGCAGGUGGCUGAGGUGUAUUUGAAAGUCAGCAGCAUUCUGACAGCGAUUAGAAUGUCCUCCGUCUGCUAGUCUUCAUGAUUCUUAAAUCCUGUGGAGCUCAAAUAGACAACAAAGCUUGUGGAACUAAUUAAGUGUUAGCAUAAAUAUCUAGCCUUCAUCACGUUGAGCUUCCUCAAUAAAUAUUACUCCCCGUUUUUAUAUUUUUAUUUUAUAAAGUAGAAAAGAAAUAUUUAUUUUAUUUUUAUGCCACCACAGUGAAGGUACUUAUGGGUUUUAUGCCACUCGUAUACUCACAUGGGGCUUAGUAUUUUUUAACAUUUUUCUUUUCUUUUCAAGAUAGCAUGAUUAACUAAUAAUCUAUUUAAGGAAAGUAAAUAAUUAAAUGGAAAAGGGAAUGCAGAAAGGAUAAAUAUGGAUAACUACCAAUCUUACCUUUUGGCGAGGGUUCAAUGUUUUAAGUCUUCUUGUCAAGACUUCUCAUCGUGUUCAUUCUUCAGGUGCGUCAUUUGAUUCAGGUGCGGACCUUGACGUCUGCACCUUUUAAUACGGUGUCACCCAUGUUCUUCGUUUGCCCAGCAGUUCGAAGUGCGGUGUUAGCAGUAUCUUGCUCAGUGUGUUUGUGCUCGUAGUGUACCUGCUCAUAGAGACAAGGCAUAGAUCAAGUGCAUGGGCCCUGUUGGUGGAAAACACCAACAGAACCAAAAGUGUAUUUGUUCUUCUCUAACCUUAAGCAUAGUGAGCAAGACAAGUUGAUGGAUGAUAAGUUCAUGAGUGUAGCACUUAUAACAUUUGUCAGAUCAGAUCGCUCAACCUUAUGGAAAGAUAAUCUAUCUAUGUAUAUGUCUUUUUCUUUAUAUCUCUCAAUGAUUGAAUGUGUAACAUUUUAGCUCAUAUGAUUAGGAGUGUGGGAUCAUGGAGGUAGUACUAAGAACAAGGAUUAAAGGACUAAACAUGUUGAAUCAGUUGGGUUGGUUAAUCUAGAGUUGUAAAUCAUACACGUUUGUCUCUUUUAUUUAUAUGAACGCCAGAACCAAGGAGAAGCUUAUAAAAGAGAUAGUCAAGUACCUUAAGAUGUUACCUUGCUCGAAGAGUGAUGGUACAGUAUCAUCUUGUGGAAGCUUUCCUUUCUUAGCGGUUGUGCGUCGUGUUUGUGGCACCCUCCAUGGAUCAUCUCUCUAUGAUGAAUGAGCUAUGUCCUUCUUGUGCAAAUUGUUAAACUUCAUGUGUCACUCUCUUCGUCUCUGAUGUGAGUUUAUCUCAGGACUUCCCAAAUUGAUAUUGAAAUUUUUUCUGCAGGGGUUAGUCCGACAAAAUAUACCAAUAUCUACUCAAGCAGUUUUUUUUAGUUCAAUAACCAAACUAGACUCCAUGUCUAAUCAGAUUAAGGAAGGCUAUUUAACCUAAGCACCAUGCUUAAUUUAAAUGCCAAUGGAAGUAUGGCGAGUACUUCCAAACCAACACUUGCUAGUAAAUAGAUAAAGGUAGCAUGACAGCGUUUAUAGAGAUCUACUCAAGUAGAGAUGAAGUAGUGUGAUUAGUAUUUAACAAAUUGAGCAUGUCUCAAAGGUAGGGACAACCAGCAUAGCAACAUGGCAAAGGAUGUUUUUAUGUAAAGUACUCCCCCAAGCUUGAAUUUUGCAAAAUUCAAGUUUGGAUGAAUUUAAUUCAAUGUUGUAUGAUGAUUGGUUGGACAUACCUUGUGCUUGUCAUUCAUCCGAUCUUCUUGCUCCAAUCUUAGAAAGGUUAGUGACAUGAAUACCCGAAGGAAUAUUUUUUUUACAAUUAUCCUUAUAUGCUCAAUACACAAGGUAAUGUUGCAAAUAAUUAAAGGCUCAUGUUACGAUCUGAUCAAUGCUUAUUUUAAGACACUAAGCUUGUCCUUGGGAAACCAUCAGUUUAUGUUGGCGAAGUGGUUUCCCCUCCGACGCCAACCUAUAUCUAGAUCAACUCAACGAGAUCUGCAAUAUUUAUUAUAGACAUAUGCAUCGACAACCGCCCUUUUAAAGUUUUUAUAAAUAGAAAGGAAGAGGGGGUUGGAGAUCUCAAGUUUGGUGAUGUCGGAGAGACCAAUAGAUUGGGAAGAUGUUGCAUAUGAGCAUGGAGUAAACGAAGUGGCUAUGAAAUAAAUUCCAUGCUCAUUAAUGUUAUCUUCGUCUCUAAUCUGAAUGUUCGGAGUUUCUCCUGGAUUGGUCUCACCUAUGUCCUCUUCUGUAGUUGGAUGAAUCUCAUCUUCAAAGGGAGUCAAGAACUCACCAUUUGAAAUGGAGCCAAAGUCAGAACCUAUUAAGGCUUCUUCCUUAUCCAUCCAUUCUACACAUUCUAGCCAUUUAGAACUUGUGAUCAAAAUAGGGGAGGUGUUAGAAUUUUCUAUAUGGCUUAGCUCUCCUUCUAUGGCAUUACUUGACAUGCCAUCCUUAUGGUCUUCAUGACUCCUAUGGUUUGGUCGUCUUGGUGAAUUGCUAGGAUCAUCAUGAGACUGAAAAGAAGAGGGAUAAGAGGGAUCUCUAAGGUCAAGGAUGGAUUUAGAACUUGUGAACAUGGAAGGGGAGUAGAUAGAAUUGUCUAUAUGGCUUAGCUCUCCUUCACUUGAUAUGUCAUCCUCGACUUCUUCAUGAUAGAAACCAGGACAUUCUCUAAGAGAAACAUUAUUGCAAUGAUUUGAAUUAUCCCUGCUUGAAGGUCUCUUAUAGAACCAGAAGUCUAAACCAUCAGCAUCUAAAAGAUUUAAGGUCGGAAUUCCUUCCUCCCUUGGAGAAUUUUGGGGUAUUGAUGGUUUAGGAUCGAUAGCUAAAGUUUGGGAUUGAAGUGGUUGUGAUCUGGCUAUCGAAACUUCUUCUUCUUGUCUAGGAACUGGUUCUUUCUCUUUCUCAGGGAUAUAAAAGCUAGGAGACUUUCCGCUCAUUAAAUCAAUCAAAUUCCAAGCUUCACUAGCGGAUAGGUGGUGGAAAGAUCCUCCAGAGGCCGCAUGAAGGGUUUGCUUAUUUUUCCUACUAAGGCCCUCAAAAAAGUGAAUUAGAAGAACUUCUUCUCGAAUAGAAAGUUUUGGGCCAGUGAGAGUAAGGUUAAUAAAGCGGUCCCAUGAUUUGCCAAGAGAUUCUUCUUCCAGUUGUCUAAAAGAAAGAAUCUCACGCCGAAGUUCCACCACUUUAGAGAUUGGAAAAUAUUUAGAAAGAAAACUACUAUAUAACUCCUUCCAAUCUCAAUGAACACUCCCUACUUUGAGUUUAUACCAAUGUCUAGCUUUUCCCGUUAAAGAGAACGGAAAGAGCUUCCAUUUAAGGGUCUCAUCGGACAUGCCUUCUAUGCGAAGGAGGUCACAGACUCGAUAAAACUCUCUUAGGUGUGUGUAUGGGUUUUCCUCACCUUUUCCUGAGAAAGGUUGUUUUUGAAUAAAUUCUAUGUAUUCGGGGUCUAUCUCAAAACUAGAUGCUAUGAUAGGCUUUGAAGAUUUUGGUGGUUCGAGAUGUGUGCCCAUAGGUCUAUGAAAUUCAUAGAUAGACAUGUUUGAAUUCAUAAUAGACCAGAGAUCAAGGAUUAGAUAAGAAGAAAGAAUAGCAGAGAUGAGGCAAAGGAUAAAAGGAAAAUAUUUUUUUUAUUUAUUUUUUAUAAAAUGAUUAAACUAGUUCGUAGUCAACUCAGCAACCUUUUCCCCGGCAACGGCGCCAAAAAUGCUUGUUGACACUUGCUAACACCACUUGAAUACUUGGUUGUCAUCCCCAGCGUGGCACUAGAGUGUACUAUGGUAUUUAUACGCACACAGAUAAUCCACAAGCGCACGGAUACCGUUGAAGCUUUUACCCGGUUAAAGGUUUUAUCGUAUCCACAGGGAAACGGGAGAACUUAUCUACGCUCUAACUUAACCAAGAUAAGUAAAUAGGUGUGAAUAGGAAAGAUGGUAGAAUCGAAUAAGAACAAUAUUAAAGGUAAGAUAACAGUGAGUGAUAAUAUGGGAAUAGAGAGUAGAGCAAUUCUAGUAUAUGGGCGAUGGUAGCAGAAUAGAGAGGAUAACUAUGGUUUCUCUACUUCAAAGGGGUAUGUCUAUGUCUGGGACGAACCACGUGAUAAGAGUACACCACAAAGGAUGCUUAUCCAUAGGCCGAUAAACCCUACCCGUCCUGCUAACGAGAGGUGGACUACAGGGGACCAACGUAACUGUCCCCUACGCGGCCUACCACACGAUCCAGUUAGUCAGGGGAUAUCCACAAGUAAUCUAGGUCUAAGCAACAUGCUUACACCUAUACUACAACUCUAACCUAUAGGGUCCUAUAGAUUAGAAGUACUAAAAAGAGUUGUGAACCAGAACAUACAUGAUUAGUAAUUGCAUAAUGAAUUAGAAGUAGAUUACCAGAGUCAUCCCAUGAGCAAGCUUGAUUAGAGCUUGAUCAUGGCGAAGUACAACCGGAGGAAGAACCGACAGGCCGGCCUCUCCUCUAAUCCUCCUUCGCUCUCCAUCUCGCUACUAUCUAGAUCUACUCUAGUUUAGAGAAGAGAGGAGAGCUCUCAUCUCUAAACCCUAGCUUUUGCUCUGUCUAUGAAUAAUGAAUAAUGAUCAAGGGGUGCCUCCUCCAGGGGCCAGGGGGUCUGGUUUUAUAGUCCCCUCAAGUUAACCUGGGCCGUCGGAUCAAAUCGACAUUGAUUGAACGGUUAUUCUUGAUCCUUUAGGUCGGUGGAGCAUAAUCCGCGAGAUUGAGCGUGAUUGGCCGAAAAAGGUGGGCGGGCGCCCUGUCCCUGACUCCGUUCGGUAUCCGCUUCCUUCCCGUGUCUUCUGGAGUCUUCUAGAUGUAAGAUAAUUGCGCGGCACGUUGAUAUCUCUAUGUAAUCCCGACGUGUGGGCCUUUCUUCCUUAUUUCCUGAUAACCCCCUGCAGAAAUAGACAAACACCAAAACUUGUGGAAUUCUGUCAGAUGAAACCCUAAGUCUCGAUGUUGAUUUCAUUUGGAUCCUUUUCUUUGUUUAUUUGAUAGUUAAAUUUGAUACUUAAGGACCGUCAACACCGACCUACCUUACUUUGAGAGACACCAGUUUUGGAGAGAAAUAUCUAGAGAUAAUUUUUAUAGUCAAGCCCGAACCAGUGACAUGGAACACCCCACUCUUAGGAUGUUCCACAAAUGGCUUGGGUACAAUUUUUUCUAUCGUGAUGAUAUUAGGAAAGUAAGAGUAGGAGAUUUGCAACUUCUAUAUGCUGCUAUUAAUAAAGUACCCACUUCACUUGUUACACUUAUAGGUUCUCAUUGGCUUAGUGUACCUAGUGUUUAGGGACCAGUAGGAUGUACUUCACUUAUCACUUGUCUAGCCUCUAAUCUUCACUUACUAGAAAACUCGUUGUUGGACUUCAUAGAUGAGUUAAGAAUUUAUCAUGGCUAUGACACAUUUAGACAAGCUCGGAUGUUAAAGAAAGAGGGGAACAUAAUGUAUAUGCUAUAUGAUGAUAAAGGCAAGAUUCGGUUACCUAACCCGAACCUUGGCCUAUACGUUGUUCAAAAUUUUGUGAUUGAGAUUGCAGCAACACCGGUGAACCAGAGAGCUCCACAACGAGUGGCAUCUGAAAGGAUGACCACCCAUCAAGAACGCACCUGGUAUGGAGCUGAUCCCGGACCAGAAGAAGCAGCGCACCUGCAUUAUCGUGACUACAACCCCCGAGUCCUUCGAGACCCAUGGGUUCGACAUGCGCAACCACAAGAGCCAACACAGGAGACAUGGCCGGAGAGCCAAGAUCACCAGUGGACAAACCCGCCUUUUCAUACGGGCAGGUACUCCACUGAUCCAUAUGGAGCUUCAAGAUCUAGACCUCCGCCCCAAUUCGAUGCAGGACGAUACUCCGACGCCUCCUACGCUUUCACGAACGACUACUAUCAAGAGGCCAACGCUUUCUUCAACUGCACCGACAACACCCUCCUCGACAUCCAGAACACACAAGCAGAACAUGGACGACUCCUGGAAGAGCAACAAAAAUGGAACCAGGACCAUGCCGCUGCAGUACAAGAGCUGAGACAAGAUACAACAACAAUGAACGACAACAUCACAACCAUGAUGCAGUUCUGGAACAUCGGGUAAGACGGACAUCAACAUCCAGCUUGGGGGAGUCCCUCCCCAAUUUAUCAAGUAAGUUUUUAUUUGCUUUUCUUAUUUAUUCUUUUUUGUUUUAGUGUUUUAUUUAUCUUAUAGAGAAAAACAUAGAAAACCCAAUAAAUAUUUUCUUGCUUUAAUUUACCGCAUUCUAUAAACAUGAAAACAAAAUAAAAAGAGUAUAAGUGUGCUUUAUUUUUCUGCUAAGUAUUAAUCUCUAGAAAAAAUAAAAAGACCAAAAAGAUGUAUGAUAGAAAUGACGAAUAGUUGCUCUGUUUGCUUAGUUUCAAGUACCUAGCUUUUAUAUUAGAGUUCUUCUAGGAAUUACUAAAACUGAAUUUACUAUCUAUGGGAAACAUAAAACUAAAGACUAGGUAAGAGAAAGGCAUAAUAUAAAGUUUGAGCUGCUGUUUAUCUUGUUUCUACCACACUAAGUUCUGGAGAUUUAUUUUGGAAACUUACAAAUCACAUGAUGAGUUCCUAGCAUAACAAACUACCUACGACAACCAUACUUCCUAUAACGUCUUUUACUAUAUUCACAUUGAGUUUGAUCGAGCUGUGUAGACACUUAGGAGCUGUUCAUGUAGUUAAAUUAAGAUAUUCAUUUGCACACAUCUACUACACCAUCCACCACCAUCUAUUAAAAUUGCUAAAAAUAUUAUCACUCACUGUGCCAAGUAUUGUUACUCUCUCUCUAAAAAGAUUCAAUGCAGAAGAGGCAUGGGUUAUGCAAAAAAUAUGCGAGGAAAUAAAAAGGGGCAAGUGCCCGGAACCUCGGAAAAGAAAGAAAAAGAGUGAGACGAGAGAUAAAAAUGGACAAGUGUCCGGAGUAGAAUUAGGGGUACAAAGAUGCCCACUUGAGCGGAAAAAAUAGACAAGUGUCCGACAGUAGAAUUAGGGGUAUCUACUACCCACCUGAAAAAAAGAGAAAAAGAUAGCCCAUGUUCUCCCAAAGCAAAGAUCAAAGAAGAGAAGACAUAGCAAUAUGAGGAGCAAUGAGAACUAAGUUUUAUUAUCACAUUAUUACCAUCAUUUACUCCAUCACACAUGCACAUCUUAAUUUAAUUAUAUGCUAAGUUCCUUUGGAUUCAUGGCUCGAUUAGACAACAUAUGUAUGAGCUGUUUUUCACUCCUAUGAGUGCCACUUAAAUAUUCCAUUAGCUAUAGGUAAGUCACAUUUUGGUAAGGAUCCACAAAUACCACAUAUAGAGUGACUUGAGAGAUCAUUGCUGGGACUCUGAGUUUUAUUUUUAACUUAUGCAAAACACUGGAACAAAGGUGAAGUAUAGAUAGGAGGAAUAGUGCUUGACUUAAUUAUUUUGUCUUUCAAUUACUUAAGACUCUAGUGCAGGUACUAAGCUCCAUGAUACUUCACUCUAAUCUGAAAGAAUUUUUUAUAUAAAAGCAUGUGUGCCUGUCAAGAAAGAAAACAUCGAAGCAACUCCUGAUCCAUCUGAGUUUAUCUAUGUGCUCAGGGACGAGCAAUGGGUAAGCUUGAGGGAGUUUGUUGACGGUCCUUAAGUACUAAAAUUAACAAUCAAAUAAACAUGGAAAAGGAUCAAUAUGCACCAAACAUCUAGAAUUAGGGUUUUAUCUGACAGAAUUCCAUGAGCUUUGGUGUUUAUCUAUUUCUGCAGGGGGUUAUCAGAGAAUAUGGAGAGAAGGCCCACAUGUCAUGUUUACAACGAGAUAAUUUUCCUCAAUCUAGAAGAGUCCAGUGUUGAUAUUUAGUAACGCAAUAAGGAAAUGAUCCGCAAGCGCACGGAGGUUAUCCAGAGUUAUCGUAUUUAUAUUUUUACCACUGGGAGAAAGGGUGCAUCUGACUAACCAAAUCUAUUGCUACUAUCCCUUUAGGCUACAAAGAAUGUUUCUCGAUGUGAGCGAUGUAUAGAGAAGACUGCAACCGUAGUCUCGUUCUAACCUUGGUAAGGAUGAUCUACUGUUCUAUUGGGGAGGCUCACGGAAUCUAGACAACACAAAGGAUGUUCGACCCGCACCUAUAAACCUACCCGUCCUGCUAACAAGAUAUGGGAUACAAAGGUAACUCGGAAAUGUCACGUUCCUCGCUACUACCACGGUCCUGCUAGUCAGGGGAUAUCUAUGAGUACCCUAGCCUAAACACCACGUUUACGCUAGCAAUGAUUACUCUAAUACUCAACCGGAAGAGGAUUAAAGUAAACUCAUAAACCAAAGAACAAUAAAACAAGAACUUACAAGAAUUAGAAGUCGAAUUACUGAAGAAUCUUAGAAGCAAGCCUUAGGUUAGGAGACUUGAUCCCGCAGGUACAACUCGAAGUAGACACCGACAGGUCGGCCUUCCUCCGAUCUACACCUCCACUCUAUCUCUCUCAAUCUAGUAGAAACUAGAAGAUCUAUUUCUACUUACAUUGGUUGCUAAGCCUAAAAAGAAAUAUUAUUUAGAGAAGAGGUUUUCCUUCGAGGGCACCCCUCAAUCUCUAUGAUAACUUCUUGUCUUCUCCAGGGGCCAGGGGGGUCUCCUUAUAUAGUCCUCCUCCUCUAUGCGUUUUUGGGUCGGUAGGCGAGGUGGUACUAUGUUUUCCUUGAUCCAAUAGGUCGGUGGAACGUCGUGUGCGAAGAGAGUCCCGAAGGGCUUCCAGAGGUGGGCGGGCGCCCAGGUCACCAGGGCGGGCGCCCUGGGCCUUGCCCCUUUCGGCCUCCGCUUAGUUCCCGUGGCUUCUGGAGUCUUCUAGAUGGUAGAAAAUUGCGUGGUGCGUUGAUAUCUCUAUGUAAUCCCGACAUGUGGGCCUUUCUUCCUUAUUUCCUGAUAACCCCCUGCAGAAAUAGACAAACACCAAAACUCAUGGAAUUCUGUCAGAUAAAACCCUAAGUCUAGAUGUUGAUUUCAUUUGGAUCCUUUUCUUUGUUUAUUUGAUAAUUAAAUUUGAUACUUAAGGACCGUCAACAAACUCCCCCAAGCUUACCUCUUGCUCGUCCCUAAGCAAGGAUAGACUCAGCUAUGGAUCAUAAGUUGUUGCAAUAUCUUUAAAAAUUGACGGUACACAUGCUUUUUAGAUAAGAUCUUAUCUCUGAGUUAGAGUAAACUGUCAAGACUUAAAACUUACUUACUUUACCUUUCACCAUGGGACUUGUAACUGUCACUUCUUUCUUGAGAGGUUAAAAGAUAGAACAGUCUAGUCAAGUGCCAUGUCUCUUAUUCUUGAUCAGCUAUAGCUCUGGGGUUUUUUGCAGAUUUUCAAAUAAAACUCAGAGAUUCCUUGUAUGACUCUCACAGAUCUCUCUUUUGUGGUAUUUCUGGAUCCUUACCAAGGCAGUGAUGGUAUAUGCCUUCUCUCAAGAUAUGUGGUAUUUAUGAUAUAAGGCAUAGUGACAUUGCCUUCUCUCUCACCCUACUCUAAUAAGGCUUUAUUUGGAGCUCAUAGGUGGGAGAUAAAAUAUACAUACUUACAAGACAUUUAUUGCAUAGUCAAACCAUGGAUCCAGAGAAACAAGUCAAUAAGUGAAAUCAAGAUGUGCAUGUGUGGUGAAUGAAUGGUGUAUGGUGAUGAUGAUGAUAAUAAUGGUGAAAGUCUAAUUCUACUUUUGCUCUUUUGAGGGGAUACAUACCUUUCUUGCACUUUGAACCUUUUUGGGGAGAAUGAGAUGCUCUAUAUUUUCUUUUUCUUUCCUCUCAGGUGGGUAUCUUGUACCCCUAAUUCUACUGUCGGACACUUGUCCAUUUUUACCUCUCGUCUCACUUUUUCUUUUCUUCGAGGUUUCGGGCACUUGCCCCUUUUUAUUUCCUCGUAUUUAUUAUUUUUUUCUUUUUUUUACUAGAGCACUCAUCUCCUGAAAUAAUGUAGCAAGUGAUAGUAACCAAAAUAAAUGGAGCAUUUAUUUCACAGGGAAUAACAGAAAUAUUUUUGGCCAUUCUUUCCCGGAUUAGGAGUAGAAUGUUUUUUUUGGGUGGUUCUGGAGAUGGAAAUGAGUGGAUAUAUGUGGAUGGUACUUCUGGAGUAGAAGUAGCAUGUAUGAGUGAACGUGCAAGUGAAUCUUGAUUUUAACCACAUGACAAGCUCCUAAGGGUCUACACAGCUUGACCACACUCAAUGCUCAUAAGCAGUAAAAAGUAAAUAUGUGGCUCAAAGUCUAGCAAGCAUGUAUAUAUGGCUGUGGUAGGAAUUUAAACUCUCAUCAUAUAGGAACUCAUCAUGUGUUAUUUUAAAGAUUUUUCAAAGAUAAAAUUCUCUAGAAUUCUAGCAUCUCUAGAAACAGAUAAACGGCAGCUCAACCUUCCCAUAUCAUAUCCGUUAACAACUUAGACUUUAGAUCAAGUACUCUUCCCACAAGUUCAGGUUUAGAGCAAAUCUUACUUCAUAACAGUCAUGCCUAAACUUGAGAGAGAUUUCAAUUUUAAGAACUAGUCAUGGCAGAGCAACUAUUCAUCAUUUCCAUGUGAGAGUUUAUCAUGAGGGUUCAUAGCAAACUUUAUUUAUUUAUUUAUUUAGCAAACUAAGCAAAAAUAUAUAUAUAAAAGCACAAAAUCUUUAUUUGGGUUUUUAUGAUUAUGCAUCUUUUAUUAUUUGAGUAAAGUAUAAACGCGAGUAGAAACACUUAGCUGGAUAAAUGGGGGUGCUCUCCCCCAAGCUGGAUUUUGACAUAAUUUCUUCUCAUGUAGCUAGCAGGUGGCGGAGGUGUAUUUGAAUGUCGACAGCACCGUGACAACGAUUAGGAUGUCCUCCGUCUGCUAGUCUUCUUUGAUCCUUGAAUUCUGUGGAGUUCAAAUAGACAACAAAGCUUUGUGGAACUGGUUAAGUGUUAGCAUAAAUGUCUAGCCUUUAUCAUGUUGAGCCUCCUCAAUAAAUGUUAUUUAUUUACCAGGAUCAUGCACUUAUUAUUUUUAUAUCUUUAUUGUAAGAUGAAAACAUAUUUAUUUUAUUUUUAUGCCACCACAGUCAAUAUACCUAUGGGUUUUUAAACCACAAGUCUACUCACAUGGGGCUUACUAUUUUUUUUUAACAUUUUUAUUUUCUUUUCAAGAUAGCAUGAACCUGAUUAACUAAGCAAACUAUUGAAUGGAAAAGGAUAACUACCAAGUUUAUCUCUUGGCAAGGCGUUCGGUAUUUUUAAGUCCUCCGAACGGGACUCUCCGUUUUCUCAGUUGUCCUGGGAUUCGCUAGGUGGCGUAGUCGGUGAUUCUGGCGGCACCUCUCUUCGUGUAUAACUAUCUUCUCCCUCCACACCUGACUCGGUGCUACGGUCUCCUCAGGACAGUUCUGUUCAAGCUAUAUGUCUUCAGUCCUUAUCACUUCUCCUUCGUAGUCUACCCAUCCGUUCUUGAUGAUUUGCCUCCUCUGGUUACGGUUGCGUCGUCUUCUUGUCCUGACCUGCUUAGAGUCUUCAACUAUAUAGUUAUGGUCAGUAAAAUAGUUGCGUACCUUCUCAGAGGGGAAGUACAUAUGGACUUCUCCGGUUCUAAUGUAGAUGAUUGCUUUGAUAGUGUUGAGGAACGGUCUUCCAAGGAUGGUGGGUGGAUCAUACUCGUCUUCUCCCAUGUCAAUGACCUAAAAAUCAUCUGGAGCUGAAUAUAUUGGUUGUAGGGGCAUGGUUCUAUGCAGGAGCUGAUAAGUGACUGCGGCCAUUAUGUUGUCGUCAGAUCCGGUGUCGUAGAGUGUCUUCUGAAAAAAAGUGUAUCUGUUGAUUGUGCACUCAAUGCUUGGAACAUCAGGGUCGUCCUUCUUGAUCAAGAAAGGUGACUCGAGUCGACAAUCUUGACCUCCUUGAGCUGCAGUGACCAUCUCAGCUGACUCGGUCCACAUUUGCUUGUUCUUGUUCCUCCUGUUGGUCCUCUUCCUUGGUUCAUAUCAGGAUUGCUCUGAAGUUUGUGUAGUCUUGUUCUUGAAGGAAAGUAUCCUUCUUCCCCUUGAUGUAGAGACUGAUCUUGGCAGCAUUAGCGUAGAUGACAGCUCUGGUGUUUAGGAAUGGCCUCCCUAAGAUGAUGGGUGCCCUCUCCUCAGUACCAGUCUCUAUCACCAUGAAGUUUGCUGGAGCGUACAAGGUACCAACUCGGACACAGAGGUUCUUCAAUAUUUCCUUUGGGAAACUAAGUGUCUGAUCUCCAUUGUGUUUGUGCUCGUAGAUCCCGGUUCUUCACUUGGUGGAAUCUGGGAGUUGUAAAACUCCUCCAUGUUUUGCUUGAAGUGUACCUAUUCAUAGAGACAUGGCAGAGAUCAAGUGCAUGGGCUCUGUUGGUGAAAAACACCAACAGAACCAAAAGUGUAUUUGUUGUUCUCUAACCUUAAGCAUGGUGAGCAAGACAAAGUUAAUGGAUAAUAAGAUCAUGAGUG
rnacentral:lncRNA from 1 species